CUCUUGGGGCCUACAGCCUAUCCGGACCGCUCGAUGGGCCUUCGGGACAACCGGUCCGCCCUGGGUAUCUUGGCCUACAGCACAAAGCAGGACCCGCCUCAACCCAACUCCAGUCCAAACAACCAUGUGCACAUAAACAUACAAUCAUAUAAGCAUUCAUAGUCAACAAGCCGAUCAAACAGAUCACAUAACAUAUCAUCAUCCUAACCAGGAUACCGACCUAACCGGUCACUAGCAUAGCAUCACCCUACAUAUCAGGGAACCGACCUUAACCAGGUCUCUAACAUAUACCAUCCUAGCUACCAGGAUGCAAACAUAUCAAAGCAAUAACAUAACAACAAAUAUCCGUAUCUCAAUCCGAUAAAGGGCCGGCCUUGGUGCCUUCGACCCUAUCGAUAUAGUGAGGAUAACUCACCUCGCACUGCCAAAACUCUGAACUGAGGAAGCAGAUUCUCGAAUCACCGACUCACCGAAAUCCCAAACUAGCCAACAUAGCACAAAUAAACAUUAGGCCAAGCACAAUACUCUUCUAAGGGUAAAUUAACCAUUUUACCCCUAACUCAAUCCGACCCAACACUAGGUAAGCUCCCAAGCCCACCAAUGGCCCAAAGUCCAGAAGUCCAAAACAAAACCCAUUAGUGGCCCAAUUUACUAAAUUGGGCCCACCUUACCAAAUGGGCCUAAACUCAUUAUCCAUAACAACCAAUGGGCCCAAAAGACUCUAUCCAUAAUGUCCAGUUACGGCCCAAAAUCCAGCAACUCAAAUAACAGCCCAAACCUUAAGGCCCAAAAUGAAAACCAAACAGAGGGAGUACGCUGGGCGUACACGCUGAUUCGCAACAGGGGAUCGGGCACUGACUCGCUACGCGGGGCGUACUCACAUGUUACGCGGGGCGUAACUUCGCUACUCAAUAAGUCCUUAUAACUUCUUAAUGGCUUAAGCUCUUAAGCCCAAACUUCAGAUCCCUAGGCCAAACAUGCCUAAGAUUCAUAAAGUCUCAAACUUUAUUACUUGGGACGUCCAAAAGCUCUUAAUCUAAGGUCUUAAUCCUUUAAGACCUAUAUAUCUCACACAUGGAACAACUACAGCCGUUGGGACCUCAUUUUUCUCACUCAAGACCUCUCCAAAGGUCUGAAAGGACAGAUAAUCUCGGCCAACACAAAGCUUUAAUCAAGAUGAGAACUUUGGGACAAGAAAGAUGCUAAAACUUCACAAUACUUAGAUCUAUGCAAAAUAAAUGGCAAGCAAGAAGCUUUAUACCUCAAAUAAGCUCCAAAGGAUGAUAUCUCUUCAGAUCUACAAGCCCCAAUCGUUCCUUUCCUUCUUUGAAAACUUCUCCUUUCUUCUUCUAGCUUUUCUUUUGCCAAAAUGAGCUUUCCAAGGCCAAACACACCCAACAAUGGAGGGAAUACGGGUUUCUAGGGUUUCUGAGCUUAAGGGUGAGUUUAAGGAGGCUAGGGUAUGAACCAACAUGUUCCUUAUAUAGUGGCUGACCCUAAAUUUAGGGUUUUAGAACUCUGAGAGUAUGCUGGGCGUACCUCUAGUAUGCUGGGCGUACUCAGCCUUGCACCCGCGUCCAUAUACGCCUUACGCUGGGCGUAAUCCCAGCUUACGCUGGGCGACUCGGCAAGUUCCCAAUUUCAUACUUGCCCCUCAUUUUCCACUUUUCCCACAAGAUGACCAAACUAUCAUUUCUCUUAAAUCCCGGGGACUCACAAUUAGGUACUCUCAGGAACUGGGCGUUACAUGUCAUGCUUAAAAUAAUGAUGUAUAGUUCUAUUAUUAAAAUAAUAAAACCACUGAAAGAUAUGUUUAAAUCUCCUGAACGUGGUAAUAAUAUCCUACUAUGACUACUUAAUACAAACAAGUUAUGUAAAAGCAAUCAUAAAGAUACUACUCCAUGGGUGUGUUCAAUAAAUGUAUUACUAGGUGCAUGAGUCAUUGUUUCCGCGUUGCAAGUCUCUCAUAACCAUACUUGACGUAGUACCAAAUGUUGACAUUAGUCACCCUGGGUCGAUUGUAGCUAACAGUCAGGGUGCGGAGUCGUCAGCCCCGUAUAGAAGUGACUUUUGUUUGAUACUAAACAAAUCCUUUUGCCUCACAUGAUUGCUAACAACGAGUUCACGAGUAAUAUGAUGAAAACUCUUUUGACAAUUCAAGAUAACAAUUAAGUCACGUAUUCAAAAGUGUGUUUGUUUCUUACUAAAAUGAUUACCCUUUCUACACUGUUGACAAAGGCAUAAUAAUGAUUUGUAUAUUCUUGUAAAUAUAAAACGUUGUAGUUGAAAUGUUUGCUCUUGAUAUGAUAUAGUAUGCACAUUUAUAAAACAUAUUUCUAUUUAUAAAUCAUGUAGUACCCUAAAAGAGUAAAGUUGUGUUUGUGAAGUGUUUUACAUGUUAACGACUUCAUAUGAUAGUAUAACAAUAGCAUGAAAAGUAUAGCAAAAUAUUGGUGUUUCACACGGUUUUAGUCGUGUGUUUACUUGUACCCCCCCACCCCUUAAAACUGUUUAAAAGCAUUUGAAAAUGUAGUGAUAGGGGUAUGAACUCACUUGAAAAAGGAGUUGAGAGAGAAGCAACAAAACCCAAAGCCCUAGCCUCCUUUUUAUAGUGUUGGGAGGCACCACGAACACAGUGCAUUCCUUUAUUGAACGCAACGCGUUCUCCUUGUGAGGUCGGCACUUACGUAUUUUCCUCUGAUGGACGAUGGGAUGGCUCUGGUCGAAGAACGCAGGGCGUUCCUUCUUGGACCAGCCUCGGAUUUUGUGCCCCGAACUUGUAAAAUUUGUAACUUUGGCGUACGAGCUCCGAUUUCAACGUUCUUUAUAUCCACACGUAGGUGAGAAAAUUCUUUACAACUCUCGUUUAGACUCCGUCAUCUAAUUCUGACUUUACUUUUAAUAAUAUACUUUUAACAGGCCGGGACUGGAAAAGUCCGUUAAAAAUCCAUAACUUCUUCAUUCGAUGACCGUUUUCGGCAGUCUUUUUACCGUUUUAUUACCGUUGUCGAGAUCUUUGAUUCUCGUUUUGGUCGCGUUGGCUAAAAGUCGCUCGAUCUCUAUUUCAAGUUUUUAGCUGUCUACCGCUAUGUCCGGAACUUCGUAAAAUCAUAACUUCCUCAUAUGAAGUCAGAUUUGGGUGUUCUUUUUAUGUAUGUUUACUGUUUUGGGAUAUCUACAAUUUUCAUUUUGAUAGUUAAGCCCAAAAAGUAUUUUACUGGAAUUUCGUAUUUUAUGCUUAAUAGUGUUUUACCGGUAUUGUCGUGGAUCUUCGAUUGGUCAUAACUUCUUUUUUAUAACUCGGAUAAUUUACGUUCUUUAUAUUUUUGGAAACCUUGUUAUGAUAUCUACCACUUAGUAUACUCAAACUUAGCUUUUUGAACAUAUCAUUUUUGACCUGAAUUUGACUGGUGUUACAUUAUCCCCCCGUUAGAGAGAAUUUCGUCCCAAAAUUCGCAUUUUGACCGGAACAUCAAAGGUCAAGGAAAGGUGAAUGUACUUCUGUUCCAUUUGAUCUUCUUGUUCUUUAGUGAAUCCGGAUCCUAGCGUGGGUGUUCCAACGGCCUUCAUUAUUUCGUCUGUUGUUUUGACCGGUAGAGGUCGUGUGGAUUUGGGUUUAUUUGUCUAUUUUCAUCUAAAUGUUAGUAUUGAUCACUCCUAAUGCAGGUCAGCUUUGACUUGAAUUUCAUGGUUGAAUUCAUACCUGGUCCAUCUAUCAUCUCCUUGCAUAUACAAGUUGUAUAUACACUUUGCAGCGAUAGGUUAACCGUAUUCAUUCUUAGCCUCUAUGUUUGAACUUGACUCACUAUACACGUGAUUAUUCCUAAGUGGUCUGUCGGGAAUACUACGGGUAGGUUGUAAAAGAGAUAGUACUCCUCACAUGAGUGCCACAAGAUUUUGAAACGAGAGAUGAUUUGGAAGUUGUGUCGGGUUUGUCGUUAUAGGUUAGAAGAGUUUCAUUACUCGGUGGUUAACGCAAAGCGUCUUUUCAUAGCACAUGCAAUUGGUAUGGUGAAGACCAAGCCAAUCCAUUUCUAGUAGCUAUUUGGGAACUUCUUAUCGUAACAAUUGUGAAGUCCAUCAGGAAAAGUGUUCGUUAGUGGGAUAGUGCAUUCUACAUAUGUGUUUUCAGUGCUUUUAGUCUAUCUUUGUUAUUACUACUAUGAAGGUUUUGCUUAAUGAUUGGGUGUUUGUUUGAGUAUAUUUUUAAAUUUGUGACUCACGGAACUCCUCUCCGCUCCUAUUAUCAGAUGGAAUGCAUGUAUAUGAGUUAUCGAGGAGACACGUGUUGGAUAUAGUGUCUAAGUCCAUAACUAUAUUUGGUAUGUGCUUGACCCGACCCGACAUGGUCCAUUUGGGUUGUACUUCACCCGAACAAUUUAUGGAUAAUCUUUUGUGAAUAGUACAAGUUAUGAUUUAUUAAUAUAUUAUAAGUUCUAAUAUUUUAAUAUAAGAUAAUAUUAUUUAAUUAGUAUUUAUCUAUAAUUAAUCUAGGAUUAAUUUAGAGAUCAAAAGUAUUACUAAUUAAAUAUGGGCUUCUACAUUUAUAUAGUGUGGGCUAAUGCUUAUUUGGAAUGGGCUAGGCUUGCAUGGAAAGUCCAUGGAUACUCCAUGGAGCUUUAACCCAUGGAUCUCAUGGAAAUGAAGAGACAUGGGUAUUAGGGUUUACAUGGAUGUAACCCUAAUCCACCACACUAUAUAAAGGAGGCUUUGGUUCUUGAAAUCACACUAGUUGAUGUGAGUAAAGCAAGAGGGCCGAUUUCAAGAUAGUAGUGACUAUUCUCUCAAAGUUCCAAGUUUGUGGUGAUUUGUGAUUUCCAUUUGAGGCAUCCACACUAUUGGUGCUAGGCUCUAAAACUCCAAGCAAUCAACUACAACUACAAGGUAAGUAUUUCUACUAGCUUUAUUUGAUUCAUGUUCCCCAUGCCAUGCUAGUUAGGAUAUGAACCUUGGAAAAAUAAUUAUUUGCAUGUAUCUUAGACAAACAUAGAUCCAAGGUUUAUUAGGGUUGCAUGUACACUUAGGAAGUGUUAGAAUGCUCAAAACCCAUCAGUGGUAUCAGAGCCUAGGCUUGUUUGUUUGAUACUUGAUGCAAAAUAGUUGAAAAAGUCGAAAAACUUGCUGUCUGCCUGAUGAACUCGCCGAGUCCAUGGGGGGACUCGCCGAGUUCAUGUGUAUCUUCAUCCUACUCGGCGAGUAGGUUCGUGCACUCGACGAGUAGGAGCCUCAGAAUGCAGAUUUUCGACUUUUGCUGCUGGAAAUGGACUAGAAACAUUACCCUAAACUGUUUUGGUGUUAUAAAACUUGUUUUAGAUGGUGUAAUGUUUGUUCUAAUCCAUUUACAAUGGCUAAUAUCAAUUUUUCAUGAUUAUAUGUGUUCAUAUGGUCUUGAAACUUUGAUAUGGAUAUUCAUGUUCUUGAUCUUAUGAAUUUAGAUGAUCAUAGGAAUUACUUGUAACCUACUUGGUAGUUUAAUUCUUGAUCAUAAUGUGUUUUAAUGGAGUCCAUAACUUGUCCUCAAGUUAUGGAAAACCAAAAGUCACACUUGAAUUAAAACCAUUAAAAGAACACAAGAGUUAGAAAAAUGAAGAGUCUUCAUUUUAAUUACUCUAUUUAACUCAUAAGUUACAAGAAAUGAAAAGUUUUGAAAGUUUACAAAACUUGCCCUCAAGUUUUGGAACAAGUAAAGUCAUGUUAAAAACUUUAGUUCCAACCCUUAGAAUUUUAAAAGUUAAAAUUCAACCCUUAUACUUAUAAUAUUAUAAGUUAAUAAUAAUAUAUAUGUAUAAGAUCAAAGUCGUCUUACCGCUAGUACGCCUCAUUCACGAAGCCGGUCUAUAAGGUGGGUAUAAGGUUGUUGCCUAUAAAAUGGCAACUUAAUGGGUGUCCACUCUCACCCACCGCUUGCUUGACUGGUGGAGGGUCGUUAGCCGAACGGGUAGGACAAGGACUUAAAAAUUCUCAUUAAAAGUAUGAUGAAUAUUAUAAAGUAACUAAAUGUUUUAUUAAAUUCCCAAUCUUAGUUACUUUAGGAAAAAUGUGAAUAAGGUGCUAAUCCAUGAAAUUACACUUUACACUUUGAUUAAGUCGUUGGUGGAGCGUGUGUGGUUAACCGGCACACUAACUUGGACUUAACAAGGUAGGUAAAGGGUGACUUAGGGUUUAUUAUAGUAUCGAUGGAGCGUGUGUGGUUAACCGGCACAUCGAUUGAGUGAUAAACUUUAAGGGUACCAAGUGAUUUGCAUGGUUACUUCACACCUCGUUUUGUGAUCCUCGGUAUCCCAGUCACAAAACUUGGAGGGCACACUCGAGAUUGAAACAUGCCUUUGAAAAGUUCAUUGAAUCUCAAAGAAUCUAGGAAUUUCUAAGAACCAUUCAAAAACCUAAUACUAAAAUAUUGCGGUUUUCGUGGUGGAAAUUGGUGAAUCGUCAUUCACCUACCUUUCAAAUAUGAUAUAGCUUAGAUUACGGCAUACCUCUUCUAAGUUAUAUUAUAUUGUGAUUGGAUCCUAGCCUUAAUAUUACAUUUGGGUGUUUUAUUAAGGACUCUCUUAUAUCUAAACUAAUCUUGUCCUCUUUCCUUCAGAUGUCUUUCAACAAUGCUUCUGGCUCUAAUCCUAAUGGCUCCUUUACCCUUAUGAACUUGUGUGGGAAAGUCACCUUUGAUGGAUCCAACUUCAAUGAGUGGAUCAGAAACAUCAGGAUGAUUACCCGCUACGAGGACAAAGAAUAUGUCCUUGACAAGGAGCUUAAGGAGAUUGAUGAGUCCACUGCAACUCCUCAGGAGAUCGCUGAAUUUCGGGCACAUGAAAGGGAUGCUACGAAAGUGGCUUGCAUCAUGAUGGCCACGAUGACAGCGGAACUCCAAAAGUCUUAUGAGGAUUUCUACCCUUAUGAAAUGCACCAAGAUUUGAUGGAAAGAUACCAUCAAAGUGCAAGACAAGAGAGGUAUGAAAUCAUCUGCUCCAUGAUAACAACCAUGAUGAAGGACGGGGAAUCCGUCACGAGCCACAUGCAGAAAAUGCAAAGGUAUGUGGAUCGUUUGCUGAAGCUUAAUGUGAACUUCCCGGAGGAUCUUGCAAUAGAUAUUAUUUUGCAUUCCUUACCAUCGUGCUAUGAUCAAUUCCGCAUGACAUAUCACAUGAACAAGGAAGAAGUCACCCUCAGCAAACUUCAGGGACUUCUCAAGACCGCAGAAUCAGGUCUUAAGGGGAAGUCGGUUGCUAUCACUCCUACUCAAAACUCUACUCCGGUUUUGGCAAUCGGGAAAAGUCGAGGGAGGAAGAGAAAGAGCUCUUCUAAGGGUACCAAGGUUCGGACCCUUGAUGGCUCUUCUUCAAGUGGAACCAAGAAAGGUUUCAUUACUCCUUCUUCUGACCCAAAAGAGGCUGAAUGCUUCUAUUGCCAUGAAAAAGCUCAUUGGAAGCGGAACUGCCCAAAAUACCAGCAAGAUGUGAAGGAUGGGAAAGUUAAACCCAACCAUGCAGGUAUUUACACUAUCAUUUCUAAUAACUCACCCCAUUCUAAUUCUUGGGUCCUUGAUACCGGGUGUGGUAUUCACAUUUGUUGUGACUUGCAGGGACUAAGAAGAAGUGAGGAUGUGGAGCAAGGAAGGAUAAACUUGAUCAUGGGGAAUAGGAAAGCUAUACCUGUUACCAAGAUUGGAGUUUAUACUUUAUCGCUAAGUAGUGGGUUUAGUUUAGAUUUGAAUAAGUGUUGUUAUUCGCCAGGAAUGGCAAGAAAUAUUAUUUCCUUUCAUGCUUUGUACAAACAAGGGUUUACCUUUUCAUUUAAUAAUGAAGUUGGUUCUAUAGAUGUUUUCUAUAAUAAUGUCUUUUAUUUUAAAGCAUUACCUUGUGAUGGUGUGUAUGAAGCUGUAUCUGUUGUAGAUAACUUGGGAAAUAAUGUUUUGUGUAUUGAUUCUACUAAUAAUAACUUGGAUAAAGCAUCUUUAUGGCAUUGUCGUCUUGGACAUAUAAGCAAGAAACGCAUAGGCCAACUCCAAAAGGAUGGAGUCUUGGAGUCGUUUGACCUAAAGUCAGAUGAUAGUUGCGAAUCAUGCUUACUUGGAAAAAUGACAAAGUCACCCUUCACAGGUUCGUGUGAGAGGGGUGAAGGUUUGUUGGACCUUAUACACACGGAUGUGUGUGGACCAUUCAAACAUGCCACAAGGGAUGCUAAUCGUUAUUAUUUGACUUUUACUGAUGAUUAUAGUAGAUAUGGAUAUGUCUACUUGAUCAAGCAUAAGUCAGAGACUUUCGAGAGGUUUAAGGAAUUUAAACAGGAAGUCGAGAAUCAAUUGGGCAGGAACAUUAAGAUGCUUCGAUCCGAUCGUGGUGGUGAGUAUCUUAGUUCAGAGUUCCUCGACUAUCUAAGGGAAUGUGGGAUAGUCUCACAAUUGACACCUCCCAGGACACCACAGUUGAAUGGUGUGGCUGAGAGGCGUAAUCGAACCUUGUUAGAUAUGGUUCGUUCCAUGAUGAGUCGAGCUACGCUACCAAUCUCAUUCUGGGGGUAUGCCUUAGAGACUGCCGCCCAUAUUCUUAAUCUAGUCCCUACAAAGAAAGUUGCCAAAACUCCUCACGAGAUGUGGACUGGUAAAGUACCUAAACUAGACCACAUCAAGAUUUGGGGUUGCGAGGCUUUCGUGAGACGCGAGACUCAUGAUAAGCUCGAACCUCGAAGCGAGAGGUGUAUUUUCAUCGGUUACCCACAGCGAUCCUUUGGUUACCUCUUCUACAGACCUAGUGACAAUGUGGUCUUUGUAGCAAGAAGAGGAGUCUUUCGAGAAAGAGAGUUUAUAAGCCAAGGAGACAGUGGGAGGCAAAUUGAUCUUGAAGAAAUUCAAGAAUCAAGCGGUGAAGGAACUUCAAACUCUAGCCCUCAACUUGAGGAGGAAACUCCUGUUGAGCCAAUUGACAAAUCUGUACCUCUGAGACGUUCCACGAGAGUUAGGAGUGCACCUGAGCAUUACUAUGGAUUCCAUAUUACUGCAGAAGGUGAGACACUUAUUAGUGAUGAGACACUAGUAAGUCAAGAUGACCCUAACAGCUACGAGGAAGCCAUGGCAGGCCCCGAGUCUGCUAAAUGGAAAGAGGCUAUGGAUAGCGAGAUACAGUCCAUGUAUGACAAUCAAGUUUGGAACUUGGUUGACAAUGUACCUGAUCGUAAGAUAGUUGGGUGCAAAUGGAUCUUCAAGAAGAAGACCGACAUGGAUGGUAAUGUACACACUUAUAAGGCACGACUGGUUGCAAAGGGUUAUUCUCAAACUCCGGGAGUUGAUUAUGAUGAGACCUUUUCACCAGUGGCCAAGAUAAAGUCUAUUAGGGUUCUGUUAGCCAUUGCUGCAUUUCAUGACUACGAAAUAUGGCAAAUGGAUGUCAAAACCGCUUUCCUUAAUGGAAAGUUGGCUGAAGAUGUUUACAUGGUUCAACCUGAGGGUUUUGUCAGUACAGAGUACCCUCAAUAGAGUGUGUAAACUUGGGAAAUCCAUUUAUGGAUUGAAACAGACACCUCGCAGAUGGAAUCUUUGCUUUGAUGAGAAAGUCAAUGAAUUUGGCUUUUCAAGGAGUGAAGAUGAAUCUUGUGUCUAUAUCAAGGCUAGUGGGAGCAUAGUCAGCUUUUUGGUACUGUAUGUGGAUGACAUAGUACUCAUAGGAAAUGACAUCCCAACCCUGCAGGAAGUAAAGUCCUGGCUUGGGAAGUGUUUCGCUAUGAAGGACCUUGGUGAAGCUGCCUAUAUCCUAGGGAUAAGGAUUUUGAGAAACAGGAGUAAAAGACUAAUUGGACUUAGUCAAAGCACCUAUGUGGACAAAGUGUUGAAAAGAUUCAACAUGCAUAACUCCAAGAAAGGUGAGUUACCCAUUCAGAGUAACGCCAGAUUGAGUAAGACACAAAGCCCUAGUACUGAGGCUGAGAUAGCAGAAAUGAGUCGACUACCUUAUGCUUCAGCUGUAGGAUCGAUCAUGUAUGCUAUGACGUGUACUCGACCUGAUGUAGCCUUUGCUUUGAGCAUGGUUAGCAGGUAUCAGGGGAACCCUGGCAAGGCACACUGGACUGCGGUAAAGAAUAUCCUCAAGUACCUGCGAAGGACUAAGGACUGGGUCCUUACCCUUGGUGGGAGUGAUAGCUUGAGAGUUGUAGGGUACAGUGAUGCUAGCUUUCAGACUGACAGGGAUAAUUUCCGCUCUCAGUCGGGCUGGGUCUUUACCCUAAACGGAGGGGCAAUUACUUGGAAAAGUUCCAAGCAGGAGACAGUGGCUGAUUCCACUUGUGAAUCAGAGUAUAUAGCAGCAAGCGAGGCAGCAAAGGAGGCUAUAUGGCUAAAGAACUUCAUCGGAGACCUUGGAGUUGUACCAGCUAUAAAAGAGCCAAUGGAGAUUUUCUGUGACAGCAAUAGUGCGGUUGCCUUAGCCAAGGAACCAAGGGAUCACGGGAGAUCCAGACACAUCGACAGAAAAUACCAUUUUAUCAGACAUCGAAUUGAAGAAGGACUCCUCAUGGCGAAGAGGGUAUCAUCGGAUGAGAACCCAGCAGAUCCCCUCACGAAGGGACUGAGUAGGGUUAAGCAUCUCCAGCAUGCUCGGAGCAUAGGGCUGAAGGAUGAUAUAAGUUUUAGUAGUUAGAUAACCCAGAAAUUUGUAAAGUGUAAUUGACAUUUGAUGAUGAAUAAAAGGUGUUUUAUUUAUGAGUAAAGUGUUGCUAUCACUUGUCAAUUGUUUACUAUAUUUCUUUUGCAUGUUUUGACUUCCAGAAUAAUUAUGUUUGGUAUAUCAUAUUAUUCGAAUCUCCACAGUCGGUCAUACGUCAGAAGUAGGAAUGAAUCAAGACAGUCAUGAUUGGUUGCAGGGGUCUAAGGUGUUAGACAUAUGCUACAACAAUCAUGAGUGCUCAUAAGUUCUGAGCAUUGGACUCAACCCACGCUCACUGGAAUCACUUCAUGGAAUUUUAUCUCGAGUGAUCGUGAGACGGUAAUAUCAUAUAAGUCUUCAAACCUAGAGAUAUGAUUUGUUACUUACGAGUUGGUUAUGCAUUGAUUGUACGAAAACGCAUUGGUAACUCGAUGUUAUAAAACGUGCUUUUGUGUGUAAUUCAAUGAGUGGUAGAACAAACAUAUGAGUCGAAGUUUAUCUGUUCCUUCUAGGAUUAGAAGUGAUAUCUGGGCCCCUCGAUGAUUUUGUUUUGACCUAUGUACCGGGCCCGGUCAGAACUAAAUUGAUGUGUUCAGUUAAGUUCUAUGUCAAACAAAUCGGAAAUCGGGAAACAAAUGUUGGACAAUAAGUAAGACCAUGUUCCAUGUAUUUGUCCGGCUGAUAUCUAGAACAGAGGAUUAUAUGAUCACUUAUCUAAAAUGGCGCGUUCUAGUUCAACAGAGUUUAAAGAGCUACGAUUGUUGAUCGGUUCCUGAAGUCAUACUUGCAACUAUAGUUAUUAGACUUAUCCAAGUGGGAGACUGUUGGAUAUAGUGUCUAAGUCCAUAACUAUAUUUGGUAUGUACUUGACCCGACCCGGCAUGGUCCAUUUGGGUUGCACUUCACCCGAACAAUUUAUGGAUAAUCUUUUGAGAAUAGUAUAAGUUAUGAUUUAUUAAUAUAUUAUAAGUUCUAAUAUAUUAAUAUAAGAUCAUACUAUUUAAUUAGUAUUGAUCUAUAAUUAAUCUAGGAUUAAUUUAGAGAUCAAAAGUAUUACUAAUUAAAUAUAGGCUUCAUCAUUUAUAUAGUGUAGGCUAAUGCUUAUUUGGAAUGGGCUAGGCCUUCUUGGAAAGUCCAUGGAUACUCCAUAGAGCUUUAACCCAUGGUUCUCAUGGAAAUGAAGAGACAUGGGUAUUAGGGUUUACAUGGAUGUAACCCUAAUCCACCACACUAUAUAAAGGAGGCUUUGGUUCUUGAAAUCACACUAGUUGAGGUGAGUAAAGCAAGAGGGUCGAUUUCUUCUCUCAAAGUUCCAAGUUUUUGGUGAUUUGUGAUUUCCAUUUGAGGCAUCCACACUAUUGGUGCUAGGCUCUAAAACUCCAAGGAAUCAACUAAAACUACAAGGUAAGUAUUUCUACUAGCUUUAUUUGAAUCAUGUUCCCCAUGCCAUGCUAGUUAGGAUAUGAACCUUGGAAAAAUAAUUAUUUGUAUGUAUCUUAGACAAACAUAGAUCCAAGGUUUAUUAGAGUUGCAUGUACACUUAGGAAGUGUUAGAAUGCUCAAAACCCAUCAACACGUACCCGUAACAACCGUGGGAUCUGCUAUGGCUUCCUCUUGGCCUAUUAUGAAUACUCGGACUCCUCCACCAGCAUUCUUGUUGUUUGCUUUCAGGCAGUCCCUUCGGAAGUGCCCCGUUGCUCCGCACUCAUAACAAGUACGACCCACUCCAACAUUCGAGGCUGGAGCAGUCGGUGGGGUGGGUUCUCGGCAGAAGCCGACAGUAUGUCCCUUCCCGUUGCAUCUUGUGCACUUCAUCUCACAGCAGGGCCCGUGGUGAUGAAUGUUGCAUCUGUUGCACCUCGGUAAUUCGCCAUUGUAUGGCUUUGUGGGUGUAGGGGUGGUAGGAACACUAAUUAGCGUGAGUUGUCACUAUUUGUUGUCUUUUAGGGUUCUCUUGCAGGGUUUGCCCCUUCCUCUUGUUCCAAGGUUUCCUUUGAUCCUCUAGCUCCUUGGGUGGGUCAGAAGCAGUUGUGAUGGUACCCUGUUUGACUCCACGAUCGAUCAAAUGUUGAGCCAAGCGCUUCACGCUAUCAAACGUGAUUGGGUUGGAAGCCAGGACAUGCCCUUGGAUCUGGGGUGCCAACCCCCAAAUGUACCUCUCCACUUUCUUUGGUUUCGGGUUUACCAUGCCUGGGCACAAGGCUGGCAAAUCACUGAACUAGGACGUGUAAGAAACUAGGUCCGAUCCGCUCAUCCUUAGGUUCCAUAACUCAUGCUCUAACUUUUGGAUUUCUCCCCUCGGGCAGUAUUCUUACAGCAUCAAGAUUUUGAGAUGUUCCAAGCUCAUGGUAUUAGCAACUAGGAGGGAUAGAGCUUUUACAUGGCUCUUCCACCAGGUGAGGGCUCGAUCGGUAAAAGUGCAAGCAGCGAACUUGACUUUGCUUGCUUCCUGGCAUGAACAUAUCUCGAAGACCGUCUCGGUCUUUUUGAACCAUUGCAUAAGUGCAAUGACUCCUCUAAUUCCAAUGAACAUCUUCGGCUUUGCGUUUGAGAAUUCCUUGUAGGUGCAUUCCCUGACAUGACCAUGACCAGUGCCAUGUUCCAGAUGAUUUGUACUGUUUUCGGUCCCUCCAGCGCCGUUGGAGUUUAUUUGAGACAGUGCAGAUGAUUUGUAGCCUGCACCAUAUUGGGGUCCUAUUGGGGAGGUGGUGGCGGUGGCGUUGGUGUUGUGUUGUUUACCCUGCGAGCAGAUCUGCGAGGAGGCAUCUUGCCGCUAAAUAAUUUAACAAUGAAAGACAAUAAUUCUUCGAUGAUUUGAAAGUCGAGUAUUAAUAGACUAAUUGUUUUAGAGUCUUCAUGUGUUGCGAUUCGACUUAAGAGGCGAUUUGUAUUCAAUUUAUGACAAAAGUUUAUAUGAAAGAUAAACCAUAAAUUUCGAGUGAUACGUAACGAAGUAUAAUGCAAGGCAAAUACUUAUAUAUAUAUUUUAAUAUAUAUCCGAUACAUCAUGAUUGUUAUAAAAAUUGGACCUUUCUAAAGGUCUACAGUACAGAAAGUUUAAUAAAAGUAAAACAUUUAGCCUCAUUCCUAGUCUAUAACAAAAUUUGGGACUUCUUGAGAGAUCCUGUUUUGGAUUUGGACGGCCGACAUUCUAACUUGUACAUAUGCCUUUCCUGUACCAUCUGAUGAUCUCGCAUCUCUCUAACUUCAGCUUAGGAUGCCGCCAUUUUUUUCUGCAAGAAGUUGACACGUUCCCUUGUUGCGUUAUGAAUGCCUUCCCGGUUUCGAAGACGAAAAGCGUUGACUCCAGUGGUAGCUUCAUUCUGCAUAACGCGAUCGAUGAUAUCUCUUCCUUGUUCGGUGUUACGAGAAACAUGACGGACCAGUACGGGAAGCGACCUAUCUACUGAACCACCAACUUCUAGAUUGUAGAAGCUUCGGUCUCCUAGGUAGGGGUGAUUCUGACCUUGUUCAUCACUCCACAUGUCUAAGUUUACGGCCCACAGAGGCGUCGGGCCUUGAAAGUUCUGACGAGGGUUAGGGUUCUAAAUAACUUGGGGUGGAUUGUAAAUGUUUGAUCCCGAAUCAUCAUCCUCGGGAAAGUCUUUAGCAAAAUCAUCGUCUAAGGGGAUUGCAGGCUCUUCUUAUGGUUCGGCAGCGAGCCAACCUGCAUUUCCCUGGUUAGGAAAGUACGGAUCUCCGGGGGGUGGAAUCCAUCCAUUGUUAUCUAAGCGAGAAUAGGGAUAUGAGAAUUGUCUAGAAGUUAAAACAUGUAAAUCUAAACAUGUAGGUUAAACUAUUGCAUUUACAAACUACUCCUAUAGUAUCCUAAAUGUUAUGUUUGAUUCUAUGGUUUAUAAGUUUGGUAAGUUUUAGACUUAUUGUCCACUGUAGUUAUCCCCUGGCAUAUGCUGGUCGGCUCUCGAAUAAAUAUAGUUGAUCAGGCUAUAUUCGUCCCAGUCCCGAUUACAUGCCCAAGGCAUACCUGUAAUGCACAACUCAUCUAUAAUACUUCUAUGUUGUUUUCAUUAUGAUACUGAUCCUGUUAUGUAAAGUAUGCACGUACACUUUUGUAAAAAUUUAUCUUAAAAAGUAUAACUCUUAGUUAGUGUGUUUUUACCCAGCUGUGUUUAUAGUUGUAUAUCAAAAAUGGUUUUGAUAUACUUAGUUCACCCAACUGUGAUAUACUUACUGAAAGAUAUGUUUAAAUAAAAUCCUGAACGUGGUAAUAAUAUCCUACUAUGACUACUUAAUACAAAUGAGUUAUGUAAAAGCAAUGAUAAAGAUACUACUACAUGCGUGUGUUCAAUAAGUGUAUUACUACGUGCAUGAGUCAUUGUUUCCGUGUUGUGAGUCUCUCAUAACCAUACUAGACGUAGUACUGAAUUUUGACAUUUGUCACCCCGGGUCGACUGUAGCUAACAGUCAGGGUGCGGAGUCGUCAGCCUCGUAUAGAUCUAUACACAAAUUCACGCUCUCCCUCCAGGAGACUCUGGUUAUAGAAGUGACUUUCGUUUGAUACUAAACAAAGCCUUUUUCUUCACAUGAUUGCUAACGACGAGUUCACGAGUAAUAUGAUGAAAACUCUUUUGACAAUUCAAGAUAACAAUUAAGUCACGUAUUCAAAAGUAUGCUUGUUUCUUACUGAAAUGAUUACCCUUUCUACAGUGUUGACAAAGGCAUAAUAAUGAUUUGUAUAUUCUUGUAAAUAUAAAACGUUGUAGUUGAAAUGUUUACUCUUUAUAUGAUAUAGUAUGCACAUUUAUAAAACAUAUUUCUAUUUAUAAAUCAUGUAGUACCCUGAUAGGGUAAAGUUGUGUUUGUGAAGUGUUUUACAUGUUAACGACUUCAUAUGAUAGUAUAACAAUAGCAUGAAAAUUAUAGCAAAAGAUUGGUGUUUCACACGGUUUUAGUCGUGUGUUUACUUGUAUCCCCCCCCCCCCUAAAAGUGUUUAAAAGCAUUUAAAAAGCAUUUGAAAAUGUAGUGAUAGGGGUAUGAACUCACUUGAAAAAGGAGUCGAGAGAGAAGCACCAAAACCCGGAGCCCUAGCCUCCUUUUUAUUGUGUUGGGAGGCACCACGAACACAGUGCAUUCCUUUACAUAACGCAAUGCGUUCCCCCUGUGAGGUCGGCGCUUACGUAUUUUCCUCUGAUGGACGAUGGGAUGGCUCUGGUCAAAGAACGCAGGGUGUUCCUUCUUGGACCAGCCUCGGAUUUUGUGCCCCGAACUUGUAAAAUUUGUAACUUUGGCGUACGAGCUCCGAUUUCAACGUUCUUUAUAUCCACACGUAGGUGAGAAAAUUCUUUACAACUCUCGUUUAGACUCCGUCAUCUAAUUCUGACUUUACUUUUAAUAAUAUACUUUUAACAGGCCGGGACUGGAAAAGUCCGUUAAAAAUCCAUAACUUCUUCAUCCGAUGCCCGUUUUCGGCAGUCUUUUUACCGUUGUAUUACCAUUGACAAGAUCUUUGAUUCUCAUUUUGGUCGCGUUGGCUAAAAGUCGCUCCAUCUCUAUUUCGAGUAGGGAUGAGCAUCGGAACCGAGUACCCGCUUUUGGAACCGGAACCGCCUCGGAACUGUCGGUUCUGGAACUGGAACUGGAACUGCCUUAAGCGGUUCCGGUUGCGAUUCCUAAAGUUAUGGAACCGCCUUAAGCGGUUCCGGUUCCAAUUCUCAUUUUUUCGGAANUAUAUAUGUAUAUAUAUAUAUAUAUAUAUAUAUGUGUGUGUGUGUGUAACUUAGACCGGUUUAGAAUAUAUUGGUCUGAUUCUGUCCCUCUUUGGUCUGAAUUGAUUCAAUUUGAAUCGAACUAAGUUGCAGUUUUAUCGACAAAAGUUAACAGAGUUAAUUUAACCGGGUUACCCGCUCCUAGAACCGGAACCGCCGGUUACGGGACUGGNNNNNNNNNNNNNNNNNNNNNNNNNNNNNNNNNNNNNNNNNNNNNNNNNNNNNNNNNNNNNNNNNNNNNNNNNNNNNNNNNNNNNNNNUCCGGUUCUGGUUCUCGCCAAAUGAGGCGGGUACCCGCCUAUGUUCAUCCCUAAUUUCGAGUUUUCAGUUGUCUACCACUAUGUCGGAAACUUCGAAAAAUCAUAACUUCCUCAUAUGAAGUCAGAAUUGGGUGUUCGUUUUAUGUAUGUUUACGGGUUUGGGAUAUCUACGACUUUCAUUUUGAUACUUAAGGCCAAAAAGUAUUUUAUUGGAAAUUCGAAUUAUAUGCUUAACAAGGUUUUACCGGUAUUGUCGCGGAUCUUCGAUUGGUCAUAAUUUCUUCGUUAUAACUUGGAUUUUUGUGUUCUUUAUAUUUUUGGAAACUUGUUACGAUAUCUACCACUUAGUAUACUCAAACUGAGAUUUUUGAACAUAUCAUUUUGACCUGAAUUUGACUGGUGUUACAUUAUCCCCCCGUUAGAGAGAAUUUCGUCCCGAAAUUCGCAUUUUGACUGGAACAUCAAAGGUCGAGGAAAGGUGAAUGUACUUCUGUUCCAUUUGAUCUUCUUGUUCUUUAGUGAAUCCGGAUCCUAGCGUGGGUGUUCCAGCGGCCUUCAUUAUUCCGUCUGUUGUUUUGACCAGUAGAGGUCGUGUGGAUUUGGGUUUAUUUGUCUAUGUUCAUCUAAAUGUUAGCAUUGAUCACUCGUAAUACAGGUCAGCUUUGUCUUGAAUUUCAUGGUUGAAUUCAUACCUGGUCCAUCUAUCAUCUCCUUGCGUAUACAAGUUGUAUAUACACUUUGCAGCGAUAGUGUGACAACCCAAGUUGUCCCCUUACAUUUCCCCGUUACCGUUAACGGAAUAUUCCAGUUUAUAAAAGUUCCGUUAAUUAGAGGUCGUCAAUUUAAUAAACAUUCCAUUUGUUUACAUUUAAUAUGCAGUUAAGUCGUGAUAAAAGGAAAUAAAAACACAUAACACACAUUUGCAUUUAAAUGGAAAAAGUUAGUUUUUAUUAUUACGACCACUAAAUCGGGUGCGACCAAAAGCCCCGUCUAACGGCAGUAUUGGGUAGAAUUCCACUGAGCUCCAACUCCCACCCAUAUAUAAAGGGGAGUAAACCGCAUUUGGAGACUUUUUACCCUCUCUCUCUCUCUAUACUCUCUCACUAGACCCGUUUUCGACCCGAAUCCGCAACCAAACGCUUCCAAAUCGUAAGUCCGCUUACCCUAGCUUAUUCUAAACAUAUUGAUUCGUGUUUAUAGCUUAAAAUUCGGACUUAGAAGCUGUUAGAAUGGAGUUUACGGCCUAAGCUCCUCCUUAGGCUGUAAACCCCAAAAUAAAGGCCAAAAUAACCCCAAAUGCCCCUAAAAGCUUGGAAAUAAAUUGGGGAUUUAGCCUAGGAGUGUUUAAACAUUAAAACACAUGAAUUUAGGGGAUAAAAGAGAUUUUACGGCCCAGGCAUAUGCCAAGGCCGUAAACACCUCUUAAACAUGUCAAAAAGCCCCAAAAACACUCCCAAACCACACUAGGGCUUCAUAUAUAAAUUAGGGGCUUAUCCUUUCGGGUUUAAAUCAUUUAAACACAAAGAUUUGGGGGAUUAAAGGGAGUUUACGGCCCAGGCAUGUACCAAGGCCGUAAACACCCCUAAACAUGCCCAAAUGAUAGUUUUAAUUCCCCCAAAUGGCCUCACACUUCAUUAUAAAUUACUAGCAAGGUAUUAGGGGCUUAAAACUUCACAAAACUCAAGGAAUGAGAGUUUAUGGCCGUAAACUCCCUUAGGAAUUGUACCUAGGCCGUAAACUCCAUUAAGAAGCCCUUAGGAGCCUUAAACCCACUCAUGCCUUUUUGGAAUUGGACCUAGAAAAAUCCCACUAACAAGAUUAAUCCUUAAAGCACACUAGAUACCCUCACCAUGAGUUUACGGCCAUAAACUCAUGGUGAGUAGUCCCUAGGCCGUAAACUAGGUAAUAAGAGGUUACUCUCGGAGGGUAAACUUCAUUCCUAAGCGAUACACACCUUUAGACGCUACCCGGGACACCCAAACACUUAUCUAAAGUGUUAUCCGCUCCUUUGAGUGCGUAUAUUUGUUUAAUUAGUAUUAAAUAUACUAAUUGUAUGUGAACAUAUGUUAUCAUAUGUUAAAUAGGCAUUGAGUGUGUUCGAGUCCUUACGUGACACCGAACGCCCAAACGGCACAUUCGUCAGACCUACUUACACCAGGUGAGUUCAUACCCCUGAAUGAACCUUUUAAAUGUUUUUACAUGUUUUAUAGGGGGAAUACAAGUUAAACAUGUCNCAAGCCAGUUAUCAUAUCAAUCACAUGUGAUUGAUAACCCGCAUACACAAGAUUUUACGACACUUUACACUGUUUUACCGAGUAGGACACUAUAAUGGUUUUCUAAAAGGUUUUUUGUUGUUUCAAGACUCUUAUUUAUACUACUUUACUUAAAACUCACUUUAAACUGGUUUAUAAAGGUUUUACAAGAUUUUAAUCAAAUUUCUCUUUCACAACGUAUACUUUUACUUGCUAGUUACUGCUGCUUCGCUUAUACUUAUUUUAUACUCCUACUUGGUAACGCUUUCACUUCUUGAAGCGCUUAUACCUGUUAUUGUCUCUAUUUCACUUAUACUUGUAGUCGCUUAUACCUGAUAGACGCUCUUACUUCACUUAUUGUCGUCUCUACUUCGUGAUACGCUUAUACUUGUUCGACACUCCUACUUCACUUGCGACCGCUCCUACUUCACUUGUUAGACACUCCUACUUCACAAGAAUCACUUCUACUUGAUACACACUCAGUCGUAGUUAGAUGUAUGUCUGUGCUUAUAUAGGUACAUAUAAGUAAUGAUUGAAAGACUUAGGAAGGCUCGUCCGCCCUAUUUCCUUUUCUUCGUUGAGAUGUGGUCUGGUGGGAUCGGAUGGCCGUCCGAAGGUCGUUUGAUUCAUUAGUUAUAUAUUAUGUAUAUGAGUAUGGACAUACAGGAAUUCUCUAGUCAGUUCAGUUAAGAGUCUCUACCUCUAGUCUACACUUACAUUAGAAACACACUACCCACUAUUUGGAAGUCUCUACCUCUAGUUCAGCACUUACACACAACCCACUAUUUGGAAGUCUCUACCCACUAUUUGGGAUGCAUCUUCAGGACACGGCCUUCUCCGUCGUCUAGUUGGUAACCAGAAUCUCCUGUAGGGAGAGCGGACAUUGUGUGUAUAGAUCUAUACGGGAUUGACAACCCCGCACCCAGACUGCUAGCUACAGUCCCGGCCUACCAAGCCAACGGGUGACAAAUGUCAUAUUUUAGACGCUUGUAGGGCGUCUGGUACUCUAGUCAGUAUGGUUACGAGUAUCCCGGGUUACCUUAUAAUUCAUUGGCUUUAAGGUAACGGUAUUUCACCGGCAAUUUACACUGUAUGCUGGUAAUUCAUUUUCAGAGUCACACUGUUUUGACCUUACAAGACGUAUCUUUCAUUUGAUACUGUCUGGGGUCUGUUUUCUCUGUUUUGACCUUACAAGACGUAUCUUUCAUUUGAUACUGUCUGGGGUUUGUUUUCUCUGUUUUGACCUUACAAGACGUAUCUUUCAUUUGAUACUGUCUGGGGUCUAUUGUUCACUGUUUUAGACCUUACCAGCUGUACCUUUCAUUUGGUACCUUCUGGGGUCUGAGUCUCUACUUGUUAGAUUGAACCAGGCUUGUCGUUAGUUCGAUACUCUCCUGGAGUCUAUGAUUCCUUGCCUUAGUCAGGAGUCCUNAGUAUUUUGAUAAUGAUAGUAAUUUAGGGAAAAUGACUUUUUACCACAUAACACUGACCAGUCUUGGUAGAAGGUUGCUUUUAUUAAAGAAAAUAUAGGAUUUUCUGGAAAGAACUCUAAUACACUGUAAACUCUUAAACUACUACUUUUAUUAAAGUUAUUUGAAUAAAAACGCCACUAAAUGCUUACGAACUCACCAGCAUUUGUAAAAAUGCUGAUACUCGCUUUUUAAAUAACUUGUAUUCUCAGGUCAGCAAUUAGACAGGUACACCCCCGGAGCUGUUCAUGAAGAUGGCUUAGUACCUUGUUGUACUUACUUAUAAUUACUUGUAUUCUUCGAUGUAUUGUAAUGUAACCAUGUAAAACUAUUACUAUUAAUGCAAUGUUUUGUUGUACUUUGAUUACUAUAAUGCAUGUGUUAUGAUACUUGACAUGACGCCAUCCACCCCAGAACGUUUCCGCCGUUCCGGUUUUGGGGUGUGACAGAUAGGUUAACCCUAUUCAUUCUUAGCCUCUGUGUUUGAACUUGACUCACUGUACACGUGCUUAUUCCUAAGAGGUAUGUCGGGAAUACUUUGGGCAGGUUGUAAAAGAGAUAGUACUCUUCACAUGAGUGCUACAGGAUUUUGAAACGAGAGAUGAUUUGGAAGUUGUGUUGGGUUUGUCGUUAUAGGUUAGAAGUGUUUCAUUAGUCGGUGUUAACGCAAAGGGUCUUUUCAUAGCACAUGCAAUUGGUAUGGUGAAGACCAAGCCAAUCCAUUUCUAGUAGCUAUUUGGAACUUCUUAUNAUCGUAACAAUUGUGAAGUCCAUCAAGAAAAGUGUUCGUUAGUGGGAUAGUGCAUUCUACAUAUGUGUUUUCAUUGCUUUUAGUCUAUCUUUGUUAUUACUACUAUGAAGGUUUUGCUUAAUGAUUGGGUGUUUGUUUGAGUAUAUUUUAAAAUUUGUGACUCACGGAACUCCUUUCCACUCCUAUUAUGAGAUGGAAUGCAUGUAUAUGAGUUAUCGAGGAGACACGUACCCGUAACAACCGUGGGAUCUGCUAUGGCUUCCUCUUGGCCUAUUGUGAAUACUCGGCCUCCUCCACCAACAUUCCUGUUGUUUGCUUUCGGGCAGUCCGUUCGGAAGUGCCCCGUUGCUCCGCACUCAUAACAAGUACGACCCACUCUGACAUUCGAGGCUGGAGCGGUCGGUGGGGUGGGUUCUCGGCAAAAGUGGACAAUAUGUCCCUUCCCGUUGCAUCUUGUGCACUUCAUCUCACGGCAGGGCCCGUGGUAAGGAAUGUUGCAUCUGUUGCACCUCGGUAAGUUGCCAUUGUACGGCUUUGUGGGUGUAGGGGUGGUAGGAACAGUAAUCAGCGUGAGUUGUCACUAUUUGUUUUCUUUUAGGGUUCUCUUGCAGGGUUUGCCCCUUCCUCUUGUUCCAGGGUUUCCUUUGAUCCUUUAUCUCCUUGGGUGGGUCAGAAGCAGUUGUGAUGGUACCCUGUUUGACUCCAUGAUGGAUCAAACGUUGAGCCAAGCGCUUCACGCUGUCAAACGUGAUUGGGUUGGAAGCCAGGACAUGCCCUUGGAUCUGGGGUGCCAACCCCCAAAUGUACCUCUCCACUUUCUUUGGUUUCGGGUUUACCAUGCAUGGGCACAAGGCUGACAAAUCACUGAACCUGGCCAUGUAAGCGACUAGGUCCGAUCUGGUCAUCCUUAGGUUCCAUAACUCAUGCUCUAACUUUUGGAUUUCUCCCCUUGGGCAGUAUUCUUCCAGCAUCAAGAGUUUGAGACGUUCCAAGCUCAUGGCAUUUGCAACUGGGAGGGAUAGAGCUUUUACAUGGCUCUUCCAUUAGGUGAGGGCUCGAUCAGUGAAAGUGCAAGCAACGAACUUGACUUUGCUUGCUCCCUGGCAUGAACAUAUCUCGAAUACCGUCUCGGUCUUUUUGAUCCAUUGCAUAAGUGCAAUGACUCCUCUAAUUCCAAUGAACAUCUUCGGCUUUGCGUUUGAGAAUUCCUUGUUGGUGCAUUCCCUGACAUGACCAUGACCAGUGCCAUGGUUCAGAUGAUUUGUACUAUUUCCGGUCCAUCCAGCGCCGUUAGAGUUUAUUUGAGAUAGUGCAGCUGCUACUGCUGCGGUGAUAGCAGCCUGCACCAUAUUGGGUUCCUAUUGGGGAGGUGGUGGCGGUGGCGUUGGUAUUGUGUCGUUUACCCUGCGAGCAGAUCUGCGAGGAGGCAUCUUGCCGCUAAAGAAUUUAACAAUGAAAGACAAUAAGUCUUUGAUGAUUUGAAAGUCGAGUAUCAAUAGACUAAUCGUUUUAGAGUCUUCAUGUGUUGCGAUUCGACUUAAGAGGCGAUUUGUAUUCAAUUUAUGACAAAAGUUUAUAUGAAAGAUAAACCAUAAAUUUCGAGUGAUACGUAACGAAGUAUAAUGCAAGGCAAAUACUUAUAUAUAUUUUAAUAUAUAUCCGAUACAUCAUGAUUGUUGUAAAAAUUGGACCUUUCUAAAGGUCUUUAGUAUAGAAAGUGUAAUAAAAGUAAAACAUUUAGCCUCAUUUCUAGUCUAUAACAAAAUUUGGGACUUCUUGAGAGAUCCUGAUUUGGAUUUGGACGGCCGACAUUCUAACUUGUACAUAUGCCUUUCCUGUACCAUCUGAUGAUCUCGCGUCUCUCUAACUUCUACUUAGGAUGCCGCCAGUUCUUUCUGCAAGAAAUUCACAUGUUCCCUUGUUGCGUUAUGAAUGACUUCCGGGAUUCGAAGACAAAAAGCGUUGGCUCCAGUGGUAGCUUCAUGCUGCAUAACGCGAUCGAUGAUAGCUCUUCCUUGUUCGGUGUUACGAGAAACACGACGGACCAGUACGGGAAGCGCCCUAUCUACUGAACCACCAACUUCUAGAUUGUAGAAGCUUCGGUCUCCUAGGUAGAGGUGAUUCUGACCUUGUUCCUCACUCCACAUGUCUAAGUUUACGGCCCACAGAGGCGUCGGGCCUUGAAAGUUCUGACGAGGGUUAGGGUUCUGAAUAACUUGGGGUGGAUUGUAAACGUUUGAUCUCGAAUCAUCGUCCUCGGGAAAGUCUUCAGCAAAAUCAUCGUCUAAGGGGAUUGCAGGCUCUUCUUCUGGUUUGGCGGCGAGCCAACCUGCAUUUCCCUGGUUAGGAAAGUACGGAUCUUCGGGAGGGUGGAAUCCAUCCAUUGUUAUCUAAGCGAGAAUAGGGAUAUGAGAAUUGUCUAGAAGUUAAAACAUGUAAAUCUAAACAUGUAGGUUAAACUAUUGCAUUUACAAAAUACUCCUAUAGUAUCCUAAAUGUUAUGUUUGAUUCUACGGUUUAUAAGUUUGGUAAGUUUUAGACUUGUUGUCCACUGUAGUUAUCCCCUGGCAUAUGCUAGUCGGCUCUCGGAUAAAUAUAGUUGAUCAGGCUAUAUUCGUCCCAGUCCCGAUUACAUGUCCCAAGGCAUACCUGUAAUGUACAACUCAUCUAUAAUACUUCUAUGUUGUUUUCAUUAUGAUACUGAUCCUGUUAUGUAAAGUAUGCAUGUACACUUUUGUAAAAACUUAUCUUAAAAAGUAUAACUCUUAGUCAGAGUGUUUUUACCCAGUUGUGUUUAUAGCUGUAUAUCAAAAAUGGUUUUGAUAUACUUAGUUCACUUUAAACAAUGCUCUGAUAUCAAUCUGGCAUACCCCCAAACCUGAACGGUGGAAACGUUCGAGGGCGGAGGACGUCAUGUGCAGUAUCAUAACAAUUGAAUAGUAAAGAAAGUACACACCACCAUAACAUAUAUUUGAAAAGUUUACUUGAUUGUAUCUAUUACAUGUUUAAAAGUCAAAUACAGUAUGACGAAUUCCAAAAGAUGAUAUUAAUGCCAGAGUGUUAAUCCCCAAAAGUAGUUGCUAACCUUGAUUAACGGUUUACUGAGAAUACUAGUAAUUUGUGUCAACAAUUAAGUUGGUGAGUUCAUAAGUAGUGAUUUGAGUAAAUGUAUGCCAUUCGAAAGUUCAUGUAUGUUUUCCAGAAAAUCCGAUAUUUUCUUACAAAAUGAGUCAUGAGUUGUUAUGUGUAUGAAAUGAAUGUAUUGAACCAGAAAAAUCCUAUAUUUUCCUGAAAGUGAGGAGCAGUCCUAAAUGUCCAAGACUGUAACUUGUAAGCAAAUAUGUCAUGCUUAAAAUAAUGAUGUAUAGUUCUAUUAUUAAAAUAAUAAGACCACUGAAAGAUAUGUUUAAAUCAGAUCCUGAAUGUGGUAAUAAUAUCCUACUAUGACUACUUAAUACAAACGAGUUAUGUAAAAGCAAUGAUAAAGAUACUACUCCAUGGGUGUGUUCAAUAAGUGUAUUACUACGUGCAUGAGUCAUUGUUUCCGCGUUGCGAGUCUCUCAUAACCAUACUAGACGUAGUACCGAAUGUUGACAUUUGUCACCCCGGAUCGACUGUAGCUAAUAGUCAGGGUGCGGAGUCGUCAGCCCCAUAUAGAUCUAUACACAAAUUCACGCUCUCCCUCCAGGAGACUCUGGUUAUAGAAAUGACUUUUGUUUGAUACUAAACAAAUCCUUUUGCCUCACAUGAUUGCUAACAACGAGUUCACAAGUAAUAUGAUGAAAACUCUUUUGACAAUUCAAGAUAACAAUUAAGUCACGUAUUCAAAAGUUUGUAUGUUUGUUACUGAAAUGAUUACCCUUUCUACACUGUUGACAAAGGCAUAAUAAUGAUUUGUAUAUUCUUUUAAAUAUAAAACGUUGUCGUUGAAAUGUUUGCUCUUGAUAUGAUAUAGUAUGCACAUUUAUAAAACAUAUUUCUAUUUAUAAAUCAUGUAGUACCCUGAUAGGGUAAAGUUGUUUUUGUGAAGUGUUUUACAUGUUAACGACUUCAUAUGAUAGUAUAACAAUAGCAUGAAAAGUAUAGCAAAAGAUUGGUGUUUCACACGGUUUUAGUCGUGUGUUUACUUGUAUCCCCCCGUAUGAACUCACUUGGUAGAAGUGGUAGCUUGAAGAAGGCGAGAGUAAACUCGAGCAGUACUUCGACUGGAGAAAGUCGAUUUCUCGGGAAUCUCGGGGGCGUCGGGACUUGCGUCGUGAGCUAGAAGUAAUAGCGGGGCUUUAAGGUAGCUUAGAGGGGCUAGAGAGGAGUUUAAGGGUGAAGGAUUCGAGAGCGAAGCAACAAAACCCGGAGCCCUGGCCUCCUUUUUAUAGUGAUGGGAGGUACCACGAAUGCAGUGCGUUCCUUUAGGGAACGCAGCGCGUUCUGUGACAACCCGACAUUUCAAGGCAAUAUAAUGUAACACCGGUCAAAUUUAGGUCAAAAUUUGACUUUCCUAAAAUCUUAUUUGGGUUAAAUAAAGUGGUAGGAAUCGUAUCAAGGUUUUCUUACAUAUAAAGAACACUAAAAUCCGAGUUACUACGAAGAAGUUAUGACCAGUCUAAGAUUCGCGGCAAAAACCGACAACACUGAUAGACGUAAUACGCGAAGUUUCAAUAGAAUAACUUUUAGCCUUAGGUAUCUAAAUGAAAGUUGUAGACAUCAUUAAACCGUAAACGUACAUAAAAAGAACGUCUAAAUCUAACUUCGUAUGAGGAAGUUAUGACUUUUCCCACAUCUGGAUAUAGCAGUAGACAGCUAAAAACUCGAAAUAGAGAUCAAGAGACUUUUGGCCAAAACAACCUAAAUGAGAAUAGAAGGUCUCAACAAUAGUAGCGCAACGGUAAAAAGUCUGACGAAAACGGACGUCGGAUGAAGAAGUUAUGGAUUUAUGACGGAGUUUUCAUGUCCCGGCCUACUAGUAAUAAUAUAUUAAUAAUAUAUUAAAAAUAAAUUCAGAAUUAGCCAACGGAGUCUAAAUGAGAACUGUAGAGCAUAAUCUCACCUACGCGUCAAUAUAAAGAACGUCGAAAACGGAGUUCGUUUGCGAAAGUUAUGAAUUUAUGAAGUUUGGGGCGCGAACCCCAAAGUUACGUCAGACACCACGACGUGGUGAUAGUGCCACGACGUGGUAGGUGCUCUAGAGCCUGUUAGAACCACUUGCGAUGAUGCAUGCAGUGACAACCAGCCACCACGACGUGGGAAAAGGUGCCACAACGUGGCGAGGGGCAAAUUCAGCCCUAUAAAUAGAAACCGAAGGUCUUAGGUUUUGGUUGUUCAAUUCUACCUUCCUUGCUACUUUUACUCUGUGUCAAGCAUCACGAGACUACCCGAAAGCCUCGGUAACACCACCAACACAUGAUGCAAGUCCCGAAGUCCCGAGAUUUUCGAGAAAUUAACUUCUUUCCAGUCGAAGUUCUGCUUGACUUUCGUCUCACCUUCUUCAAUCUAUCAAGUGAGUUCACACCCCUAUAAACUACACUUUCAAAUGCCUUAUAAAUACUUUUUAUACACUUUUAAGGGGGGGGNGGGGGGGGAAUACAAGUAAACACAUGGUUAUCCUCGUGUGAAAGACAUAAGUCUUUUGUUAUACUUUUUGUUAUAUAAUCAAUCAUAUGUGAUUUAUUACUGUGUUUCAAGCAAAUGAUUUCAUAUACUGUAUAAAUGUGUUUAGAGAAAAGGUCUCUUUUCCUUUUGUGACAACUCGAAUCUUCAAACCCUGAAACGAGCCUUAUGCACCGCACCGAUACUAUUCCUUCCCGAAGGGACAGAAGAUUUUGUGGUAUACUGCGAUGCAUCCAAACAGGGGCUCGGUUGUGUUCUGAUGCAACGAGGUAAGGUCAUCGCCUAUGCCUCAAGACAACCGAAGACACACGAGGUCAACUACACCACACACGACCACGAAUUAGGAGCAGUUGUAUCCGCUCUAAAUAUCUGGAGACACUACUUGUACGGUACGAAAAGCACGAUAUACACUGACCACAAAAGCCUCCAACACAUACUCAACCAGAAGGAGCUCAAUAUGAGACAACGUCGAUGGGUUGGGCUACUCAAUGAUUACGACUGCGAGAUUCGUUAUCACCCGGGAAAAGCCAAUGUAGUAGCAGACACCCUAAGUUGGAAGGAAUAUUCGGGUCGUAGAGUCAAGUCAUUAAUAAUGACUAUCCAUUCGCAUCUAUCCGCACAGAUCAAGGAGGCUCAGCUCGAAGCCUUGGAACCUGAAAAUGUAGUGGGAGAAUCCUUUCGAGGAAUGGAUAAGAACCUACAAGUUAAGGGUGACAGAGCAUUAUAUCUCAUGGACCGAAUCUGGACACCGCGAUAUGGUGGCUUCAGAGACUUGGUCAUGAAGGAAGCACUCAACACUCGAUAUUCUGUUCACCCAGGUUCAGAUAAGAGGUAUCUAGAUCUUAAAAAGUCAUAUUGGUGGCCCAACGUGAAAGCAGAAAUUGCUACCUUCGUGAGUAAAUGCCUUACUUCCACGAACGUCAAGGUCGAAUACCAGAAGCCAUCAGGUCUACUACAGCAACCGGAGAUACCUGAAUGGAAGUGGGAGCGGAUCACUAUGGAUUUCAUAACCAAGCUACCCAAGACAAUGGGUGGACUUGAUACCAUAUGGGUCAUCGUCGACAGAUUGACCAAGUCCGCACACUUCCUACCCAUCAAGGAAACAGCUAAGAUGGAGAAAUCACAAGAACAUACAUUAAGGAUGUGACAACCCAAAGUUUAUUCCGUUACAUCACCCCGUUACCGUUAACGGAAUAUUCCAUUUUAUAAAAGUUUCGUUAACUAGAGGUCGCAAAAUAAAUAAAUGUUUUAUUUAUUUAUAUUAUGUCGUUAUUGUCGUAAUAAAGUAAAUAAAAACACUUAAGUUGCAUUUCCAUUUAAUUUGGAAAAAGGUUAAAUUUUAUCACGACCACUAAAUCGGGUGCGACCAAAAGCCCCGUAUAACGGCAGUAUCGGGUAGAUUCCCACUGAGCCCCAACUCCAACCCAUAUAUAAGGGGGAAUGGACUUCAUUCCACCCCUUUUCACACUCUCUCUAAACUGUCUCUCUACAACUUUUUCCCGAGCCAAAAAUCGUCCGUUUCGAGGCCCAAACGAGUAGGUAAACUAUCCUAACUCGUUUUAUAACUUAUCUAGCAUGCAAAUUCGAGUUUAAAACAUAAAACAGGGACAUAAUCAUGUGUUUAUGGCCCAAGAACACUCUUGGACCAUGAACACCAUUUAAUGGGGUUUUUAAGCCCCAAAACCCCUCCAAAUUGUCCUUAAGGCUUAGAUAUGACUUGUAGGCUUAUGGAAUCGGACUUAGAACACCUUGAUCUAGCAUUUUGGGGAGUAAACAUGAGUUUACUGCCCAAGAACAUUCUUGGGCUGUAAAAUCCCCUUCAUGGGGAGUAAACUCAUUUUCUUGUGUUAGAAAUGCCCUCAACACCCCCUAUGGCCUUGGAAAAUAGCUAGAAUACAAUACCAUAGUUGUAAGGGCCUUAAACUUAAAUAAAACCAAGGGAGUAGGAGUUCACGGCCGUGAACUCCCAUACGGGUGGUUCAUGGGCCGUAAACUCCCAAUUUAUGCCCAAAUGGUGCCUUAAACUCCCCAUUUGACUUGGAAAAAUGCUUAGGAAUUUACCCUCUACCACUUAAGCCCUUAAAACACCAAAAGAAUGAGUGUAUAGGAGCUUACGGCCGUAAGCUCCCUUGCUUAGGGCCGUAAACUCCUCAAAGGGUCCUUUUGAUGCUUUAAACCCAUUCACACAUUUGAUAUUUGAGUCUAGAAAAAUUCCACGAUUGAUAUGAGACCUUUUAGCAGCCUAGAACACCCUCACCAUGAGUUUACGGCCGUAAACUCAUGGGGAGUGUCCCAGGGCCGUGAACUCUAUGUAUAGAGUUUACUCUUGAAGAGUAAACUCCAUUCCUAAGCUGUUCACACCCUUAGAUGUUACCUGGGACACCCCAAACACUUAGAGUGCGUAUACUUGUUUAAUUAGUAUUAAAUAUACUAAUUGUAUGUGAACAUAUGUUAUCAUAUGUUAAAUAGGUCUCUAAGUGUGUCCAAGUCCUUACUUGACACCGAGCACCCAACCGGCGCCUUCGUCGGAUCUACUUACACCAGGUGAGUUCAUACCCCUGAAUAAACCUUUUAAAUGUUUUUACAUGUUUUAUGGGGAGGAAUACAAGUUAAACAUGCCAGUUAUCAUAUCAAUCACAUGUGAUUGAUAACCCGCAUGCAUAAAGAUUUACCAUACUGUACACUGUUUUACCAAGUAGGAUACUAUAAAUGGCUUUCAAAAAGGUUUUCACUUGUUCAAACUCUUACUUAUACUGUUUUAUCAAAAGACAAUUUAAACUGGUUUAUGAAAAGUUUCCAAAGAAUUUCAAAAGGUUUUUCAAACUUAUUUUACCAAGGGACACCAAGUUGGGAUUUUCUCAAGAAUAAAGGUUUUCUUCCAUAUUUUGAUACUCUUUCUUAGUUAAACUCUUACUUGAUAACGCUUUCACUUUGUGAUGCGUUUAUACUUAUUAUUGUCUCUAUCUCGCUUAUACUUGUAGUUGCUUAUACCUGUUAGACGCUCUUAUUCCACACUGUACGUUUAUACAUCACGAUUCAGUAUUCCACACUAUACGUUAUACAUCACGAUUUGAUUAUUCCACACUGUACGUCUACACACAACGAUUCGGUUAUUCCACACGAUUCGGUUAUACAUCACGAUUCGGUUAUACUUCACGAUAUGAUUCCACUUGUUAUACACACUCAAACGUAGUUAGAUGUAUGUGUGUGCUUGUUUAGAUGCAUAUAAAUAAUGAUUGAAGGACUUAGGAAGGCUUGUCCGCCCUAUUUCCUUUUCUUCAUUGAGAUGUGGUCUGGUGGGAUCGGAUGUCCAUCCGAAGGUCGUUUGAUUCAUUAGUUAUAUAUUUAUUACACAAGCAUAGACAUAUAGGUUUACAUUAGUCAGUUCAGUUAAGAGUCUUUACCACCAGUUCAGCACUUACAUUGGAAACCCUCUACCCACUAUUUGGGAUGCAUCUUCGGGACACAGCCUUCUCUGUCGUCUAGUUGGUAACCAGAGUCCCCUGUAGGGAGAGCGGACAUUGUGUGUAUAAAUAUAUACGGGAUUGGCACCCCCGCAUCCUGACUGCUAGCUAUAGUCCACGGCCCACCAAGCCAAGGGGUGACAAAUGUCAUAUUUUAUAGAUGCUUGUAGGGCGUCAGGUACUCUAGUGUCGGUUAGUAUGGUUACGAGUAUCCCAGGUUACCUUAUAAUUCAUGGCCUUAAGGUAAUGGUAAUUCACCAGCAAUUUACACUAUAUGCUGGAAACCCACUCUCGGAGUCACAUUGUUUUAGGCCUUGCUAGACAUAUAAUUCAUUUGCUACUGUCUGGGGUCUGUAUUCACUAUAUUCACUAUAUCCACUGUAUUCACUAUAUCCACUGUAUUCACUAUAUCCACUGUAUUCACUGUAUUCACUGUUUUAGACCUUGCUAGACUUAUCAUUCAGUUGACACUGUCUGGGGUCUGUGUUCACUGUUUUAGACCUUACUAGAUGUACCUUUCAUUUGGUACCGUCUGGGGUCUGUGUCUCUUUCUUUGUUAGACUGAGCCAGGCGUGUCGCUUGUUCGAUACUCUCCUGGAGUCUAUGAUUCCUCUCGCCUUGGUCAGCAGUCUUCACUGCUGAGGCAUAUGUUAUUUCCCUGAUUUCUCUUGCUUUCUUUAAAUAAUCAAACUCUGUCUUUUGAUAAUGAUAACGAUUAAGGGAAAACUAUUUUACCACAUAAUUCCGACCAGUCUUGGUAGAAGACUGCUUUUUAAUUAGAAAAUAUAGGAUUUUCUGGAAAGGACUCUAUUUCACUGUGUACUUGAAAACUACUACUUACAUAAAGUUAUUUGUAUAAAAAGUCUCUAAAUACUUAUGGACUCACCAGCAUUUGUAAAAAUGCUGAUACUCGCUUUUCAAAUAACUUGUAUUCUCAGGUCAGAAUUAGGCAGGUACAUCCCCGGAGCUGUUAAUGAAGAUAGCUUAGUACCAUGUUGUACUUAUUAUAUUUGCUUGUAUUACUUCGAUAUAUUGUAAUGUAAAUCAUGUAAAACUAUUACUAUUAAUGCAAUGUUUUGUUGUACUUUGAUUACUAUAAUGCAUGUGUUGUGAUACUUGACAUGAUGUCAUCCACCCCAGAACGUUUCCGCCGUUCCGGUUUUGGGGUGUGACAAAGGAGAUCGUACGGCGGCAUGGUGUCCCUAUAUCUAUAAUCUCCGAUAGAGAUAGUAGGUUUACUUUGAGAUUUUGGCAAUCACUACAAAAUGACUUAGGGACGAGGCUGGACAUGAGUACAGCCUACCAUCCGCAGACCGACGAACAGAGUUAGAGGACUAUCCAAACCCUGGAGGAUAUGCUGUGAGCCUGUGUGAUCGACUUUGGUAAGGCGUGGGAUACCCACUUACCCCUUGUCGAGUUUUCCUACAACAACAGUUAUCACACGAGCAUCAAGGCAGCUCCAUUUGAAGCCCUCUACGGCUGAAAGUGCAGAUCCCCUCUGUGUUGGGCUGAGGUGGGUGACACUCAGUUAGCUAAAGGACGCGGUCCUGACAGCGCUCUCACGGGUCCGGAGAUCAUUCAAGAAACGACCGAGAAGAUCGUACAGAUUCGUGAACGAUUAAAAGCCGCUAGAGAUCGACAGAAAAGCUACACAGACAAACAAAGAAAACCUUUGGAAUUCAGGUGGGAGACCGAGUUCUUUUGAAAGUGUCACCCUAGAAGGGCACGAUAUGCUUUGGAAAGCGUGGAAAGCUGAAUCUAUGAUACAUAGGGCCUUUCAAGAUUCUCGCUAGAAUCGGCCCAGUAGCUUACAAACUCAAUCUACCCCGCGAACUCAGUAACAUACACCCUACCUUCCACUUCUCGAAGUUGAAAAAGUGCCUAUCCGAUGAGACUCUCGUUAUCCCACUCGACGAGAUCGAGAUCAACGAGAGCCUCAACUUCGUAGAAGAACCUGUGGAGAUUAUGGACCGAGAGGUCAAACGAACGAAACAAAGUCGCAUCCCAAUUGUGAAGGUUCGCUGGAAUGCCAAGCGAGGACCAGAGUUCACUUGGGAGUGCGAGGAUCAAAUGAAACUUAAGUAUCCUCAUCUCUUUGCUUAGUUGUGUUGUAAUAACUUAGCUGCUUGAAUUCUAAAUUUCAGGACGAAAUUCCCUCUAAAGGGGGGAUGAUGUGACAACCCGAAAUUUUCAUUUGUAUAAUUUCCACAGUCACACACUUCAAAUAUUAGUCAAAACGAUUUUAAUACAUUUUUGGCCGGAUUUAAACCCGUUUGGUGCUUUAUUUUAUUUUUCGUCAAACGAUAUAAUAAAAGAAGAGACGUAAUUAGUGACGUGUAAUAAACUGGACAACACGACACCUUAGCUAGGUGUUUACGGCCAAACAAGGGAGUUUGGGCCGUAAACACCCUUCUCCCCAUGAACUCAUGCAUUUAGCUUGAGUUUACACUUUAUGUCCUCAUUUCCCACUCCCCACCUCAAGAACGUAUGGUUUUCUCUCAAGCAUCAUCAUACAUUUCUUCCAAAUCCGCCAAAAAUGUAAGUUUUCUUCCUAGAUUCUUUCAUAAAAACACUUAACCUAGUGUUUCUACAUCUUCUCAUCCAUAAAUUUCCGAUUUUUACUUAGAUCUUCAAAGGAUCUUCAGAUCACCAAGAACAUAUUUGUGUUUUUAGGUCCUAAAACACCUCUACAAGCUUCCUAGAAGUGAGUAUACUCUUCCUAACUAGUUAUUGGCUUAGUGUUCAUGGAUUAAACACCCAAAAUCCCUAAGAACAUGUGUAUACGGUUUGGGGAUCUCCCAAAACCGUAAACACCAUAAGGGUGUUUUGGUGUCCCUAAAUCCUUCCUUAGCAUGUUUAAUGGACUAGAAACUUGGUUGAAUGAGCUUAGGACCACAAAACACGAAGGAAAUGAUGUGCCCAAUGGUUUAUGGUCGUAAACCCUAGAGUUUACGACCGUAAACUCCCAAGGAGUGGUCCAAGGACUGCAAACUCCAAGGGAGUACCCUUUUGAACCCUAAUCACUUCUCAAGACCUUUGUUUUGACCAUAGAACCCUUCCUAGUGAUGCAAGAGACCUUUAAACACAAAAACUCACCAUUUCCCAUGCGUUUACGGCUGUAAACUCAUAGGGGAAGUGGUCUCUCAACCGUAAACUCAUAAUAAGGUGACCAUUUGAAGUGUAAACUCCAUAGUUAGGCCAUACACUUUUUAGAAGCAACCCUAGCACUCUUUGCACUUGAAGCAAAGUGUUUUCAUACAUUAGAAGGUCUUUACUUACUUAAUUGGUGAUAAAAUGACUAAUUAAACACCAUUAUGUGCCACUACAUGGUUCAUAGGAUCUGUAGGUGUGUUCAAGUCCUCACUUGACACCUAGCAUCCUACCUGGCAUUCCAUCCACUCUGCUCACUACAAGUGAGUUCAUACCCCUUAAUUAACCUUUCAAAUGUUUUUAAAUGCUUUUAUGGGGGAAUACAACUUUAAUCCAAUAAAUUAUAGUAUCAAUCACAUGUGACUUGUAACUUACAAUCAAAAAGGAUUUCUAUACUUUUAACCGUUUUGCCAUUAUAACUGCUUUCAAUGUAUAUCAAACUCAUUUUUCAUGUUAAAUUGUUAUAAAAACUAUUUCCAAACUCUUUUAAACUUUUUAUGUUCCUAAAAUAUAUCUACACCAAUAUAUUUAUAUAAGUAAGACUUGAAGGACUUAGGAUUGAUAGCUCGCCUUAUUUCCUGUUCUUGUUUGAUUGGGGUCUUAGGGUAUAUAGUUAUCUGUCCGACUGCCGUUGAAUUCUUAGUUAUAUAUUGUAUGUAUUCGUGUUGGAUAUGAAUGUCUUCACUCCGUUCAAUACUCUGGUGUAUCCAAGAUAGACUAGAACGUGUUAUUUAACUAUAAUAGGUAUAGUUAAGGUUUCCCGUUUUUUACUACCAUUACUAUGAUACUUACGAUAGUCAGUACUAUUAUGAGUCUCUACAUGUUAUGUACUAUAUCAGGAGAAUACUAUGUACUAUACAAAAGAGCACUAAAUACAUAAUACCGAGAAGCACACUAUACAAAAAUACAAGAGAAUAUACUAAAACAGAAUGUGAUACAUUAUUUCUCUAUACGACACUUUACUACGCCUUCACUGUGUAACCAUAGUCUCCUGGAGGGAGUCCGGGCUCUACGUGUAUAGAUCUAUACAGGGCGGACACUCUCACAUCCCGACUGCUAGCUACAGUCCGAGCCGACUAGGCCCAGGGAUGAUAACAUGCUACCACACUACGUGUGACCUGGAGGGUCAUUAUACAUUCGAUCGCCUAUCCGCAUGGUUACAUAUAAAUUCACAUUCGGAUCCUUAAAUUAACAAACUAAGAAAUAAAGGUAAAAUAGACUCCCCGAGAUGUAUUUUAUACUUAUCACUACCUGGAGUCUGUGGUUAUUUUCCAUUCACCAGACAUUAACACUGCUGGAAUAAAACAACAUCUUCCCAUUUACUUUACAUGAAUGAAGUCUAAAACUAUAUUUUCAUGACUGACAGUCUCUUUGGGAAAACUUUUACACACUCCGAUGAUCAAUCCUACAAAUAUUCCAGUCUUGACAGAAGAUUACUUUUACAUGGAAAAUAUAGGAUUUUUCUAGAGAAUCACACUAUUUGCAAACUUGAUAAUAACUUUCAUAUUAUACAAAUGUAUACAGUUUUAUACAAACAAUGACACUAAAUACUUAUGAACUCACUAGCUUUAUGCUGAUACUCGUUUUCAAAAUAACUUGUAUUCUUAGGUCGUCAGUAGACAAGUACAGAUGCAGCUUUUGAGAAGACGGAGCAUAUACAAGACUCCUCUUUAUUUUGAUUAUACUUUUUGGUGUCUAACAAAUUGUACAGAACAUGUUUGUAUUAAAAUUACUAUAUUAAUGCAAUGUGUCACACCCCAAAACCACGAACGGCAGAAACGUUCAGGGGUGGAGGACGUCAUGUACAGUAUCACAACAGUGUAAUAUAAUAAACGAGCAACAACAUCAUCCAUUGCAUUAUAAGUAAAGUUUUAAUACAUUUGUGUUCUUUCAUUGUAGUAAGACACCAAAAAUAUACAAUCAAAAUAAAAGACGAGACUUGUCUGCUCUGUCUUCUCAAAACCUGGCCUCCGUACCUGUCUACUGAUGACCUGAGAAUACAAGUUAUUUUGAAGGCGAGUAUCAGCUUUAAAGCUGGUGAAUUCAUAAAUAUUUAAGUGUCAUUGUCUUGUUUAUGAGAAUCUAUCAUGAAGGCCAUGUAAGCCUUUAAAUGAAAAUGUUGAUGUAAGUAUGAAAACCCUAGAAAAUCCCUUAUUUUCUAUCAGUGUGAGAUGCAGUCUUCUACCAAGACUCGAAUGUUUUGUAAAUAAAAUGAUAGUUAUUCCUCCUUUUGACUACUACAUACAGUAACUAGUCUAACUCAUCGCUUAUGUGAAUAUAUCACAAAAUAAAGUAAAUAGGAAAAUAUAACCAUGAAAGUAUUACUCUUGGGUUACCAGGGAUAACACAACAUCGCUGAAGCGAAAGAUAUAACCUAAAGAACAUCCGAAGAUUGUUCAAUUUAACCUCUGUGGCGAACAGUAGAUUCCAGGAAUGGUUAGUCCCGUAACUGAUUUUACAUCGAUGUAGUCGAAGUAAAUAACCUAAUGAACAUCCGAAGAUUGUUCAAUUAACCUCUGUAGCGAACGGUAGGUUCCAGGAAUGGUUAGUCCCUUAACUGUCUCCUAAUAUAUGUAAUAACAACCCAAUGAACAUCCUAAGAUUGUCCAAUUAACCUCUGUGGCGAACAGUAGGUUCCAGGAAUGGUUAGUCCCGUAACUGACUCUACCUUGUUAUAAGCGAAAUAGAUAACCUAAUGAACAUCCGAAGAUUGUCCAAUUAACCUCUGUGGCGAACAGUAGGUUCCAGGAAUGGUUAGUCCCGUAACUGACUCCCGUUGAACUGGGAUGGGCAGGACGAUUUACUGAAGGUACUAAUAAUUCAUCCUAAUGAACCGAGGUUCAAGUAUUCAUGUAAGUAUACACAGGUCGAUGUAUCUACGUAAAGGUAUUCAUGUAAUGUGUUCAUGUAACAAGUAAGUAUAUGUAAACAUAUUCAUGUAUCAUGUAAUCCUAAGUACGUGUACUCAUGUAUCAUGUAAGGUAUUGGUAUAGACUCAUGAAUGAACUGACUCUUGUGUGAUUCCUUGUAGUAGUAAUAAUGUUUGAUAUCUUCUAACUAUCCCUAUGAUAAUUAACUGGAAGGUAAGUGGUUGUUCAAGUAGAUUUAUGCACCCUCGAUACGCCAGGGUGUGGGAAAGUGAACGAAGGAUGAAAACUAUAAUCUCUAUCAUAUAAUGAACAUAUGCGCAUAAGUAUAGUUUGAUUCAAGAAGGUAAAAUAAUGGUUUUGCAAGAUAUCUAGGAGUUUUGAACAAUAAUUAAGAAUGACUUGAUGUCAUUUUAAUAAACAUUUCAAAACUAAUACUUUUGUUAUCAAGGUAUUUUAAGAUAGAAAACCACUUCAUGUGUCACCUUUUGAAAUAUGUGAAAUCUACUGAGUGAAAACACAGUUACAAAAUACAUAAGAUUGAUUUAAUAACAUACUGUUUUCUACUUGUAUUCCCCCCCUUAAAACAUUUAAAAUCAUUUAAAACAUUGAUUAAGGGGUAUGAACUCACCUGUAGUUGGUGAUUGGGAUGAACUGAACGGUAUAGGAUUGCUAGGUGUCAAGCGAGGACUUGUACACACACUACGAUCCUAAUGAACAUAUAAUCACACAUAUAUGCAUUCAAUUAGUCUUAAAUCACUAAUUGAUAAAGUUAAGACAUCCUAGACAUAAUAAACACUUUAUAUAAGUGUUUUAAGCCCUAAGGAUUGCAUCUAAGCUAUUGUGGGACAAGGUACUUGUGUUUAGGGUUCCAAAGGACCCCAUAUAUGAGUUUACUCCUCAUAUACUAACACACAUGGAGUUUACGGUUGUAAACUCUUGAGUUUACGGCCGUAAACUCCCAACCAUGGGGUAUUUGUGUGUUUUGAAGUCCCAAAUGCUUUCUAGAAUUAUUCUAACUUGGUGGUUCCAUCCUUGAAGGGGUUUAAGGUCUAGAAAUACUCCAAUUAGGAGUUUACGGCCCCAAGGCCAUUCCCCUUGGAGUUUACGGCCGUAAACUCCCUUGGGGUGUUGUUUUUGUUGUUUUCAAGCCUCAUGCAUUUGAAGGAUAGGUUCUAGUCAAUUGUUUACAGCUAAUGAGGACCCUAGGCACACUUUGGUGCCCUUGUUAGGUGUUUGCGGCCUAGGAGCAUUACCAAGGCCGUAAACUCACUUCAAGAGGUGAUUUUGAUGCUUUCAAGUCUCUUGCACAUGUGGUAUAGGUUCUAGGCUUUUAUUCCAAGCAUAUGAAGGCAUUAGGCACACUUUGGUGCCCCUUUAGUGAGUUUACGGCCCAUGAACCAUGUCAUGGCCGUAAACUCUCUUUGAAAUGUGAUUCUUAUGUGUUUAAGGCCUUAGAUUAAAUGGGAAACAAUUCUAUGUAAAGGUCUAGGGCUUUAGGUGUAUUAAUAACACCCUUUGGUCCAUUUCCAUGGAGUUUACGGCCUAAGAUUGCUCUUGGGCCGUGAACUCCCAUGUGUUUGUGUUCUUUGAUUGUUUUCUUGUCCUUAAUACACCUACAAUUGAGUUUAAGGCAGUAGCAUAACAUAAGGAACAAGCUAGGAUCGGUUUCGGGAGCUUACCACUCAAGAACACCUUGGGGAGUAAACGCCUAGAUCUAAUGAUUUAGCCAUCUAAAUCAUGUUAUAAGCACCUAAUAAGCAUUCUAACAUUACUAGAAAGAGUUACUCACAUUUUGGUAUAAAAACCCGAAGAUCCGUGAGAGAGAAAAUGGCUUUUCUCUAGUUGGAAAUGUGAAUAAUGAAUAAGUUUGGUUCAGAAAUCUAUUUAUAGUCCUGAGAUAUUUUUGGCAGAAAAUAUUUUUAUUCCAGAAAUGAUCUCUAAUAUAACUGAGUGUUGGAAUAACAGUGUAGCACAAAACCCUAGUGCAACCACUCUCCUGAUAUCUCCUUAAGUGUAAAUCCUGAAAAACUGCCAAACUUAUACCCGAAGUCUGGAAUUUCACUGAAACUGUUCUAAGCUCUAUUGUCUUGAUAUGGUUUGUUCAGAAUGGAAAUUUCGGGUUGUCACACAAUGGAUGUUGUUGCUUGUUUUUACUAUUAUGCAUUAUUAUGAUACUAUACAUGACGUCCUUGUGACAACCUGAAAUUUAUUCCGUCGCUGUAGCCGAAUUCCGUUAAUAAAAUUUAUUUUUAUUAAAAUUUUACGUUAACUUUUGGGUUAGACAAAUCAAUUAAUGUUUUUAUUUUUAUUUUCAUAAGUGUUAAAAAGAAAUAAAAACACGUGAAACACCCUCGAAUUUAUUUGGGGAAAAUUUUUAGUUUACGACUAAGCCGAGUUACGACCAUUUAAUCGGGUAAAAUUUUAAACUCCGUUUAACGUCGGUAUGGCGUGGAUCACCACCUGGCCUCCAACUCAGACCCUAUAUAAGGGUUGAGUGGCCUUCAUUUGAGGCUUUCCCCCACUCCUAAAGCUUUCUCUCUACUCUGUCUCUCUCUAGAAGUUGGAAUUGGUCAAGAAACACCUCAUUCAAGCUCCAAAAUCGUAAGUAAUCCUCCCUAACUUGUUGUUUAGCUUUGUAUCCAUGCAAAUUCGGGAUUUAAUCACCCAAAAACCUUAAAAAAUCGUGUUUACGGUUUGGGAACACCUCCCAAAGUCGUAAACUCCCAUAAGGGGGUUUUGAAGCCCCAAAAUCCCUCCAAAACCCUUCUAAUGCUCAUCUUUGACUUAGAAACUUGCAUACAUGAAGUUAGAAACCAAAAAUCGUGCCUUUAGGGGAGUAAACAUGAGUUUACGGUCCAUGAAUAUUCAUGAACCGUAAACACCAUAAAGGGUGUUUUGGUGUCCCUAACUCCUUCCUUAGCAUGUAUAAUGGACUAGAAACUUGUAUGGAUGAGCCUAUGUCACACCCCCAAACCAAGGAUGGCGGAAACAUCCAGGGGUAGAGGACUUCAUGUAUAGUAUCACAACAACGAGUAUAAUAGUGCCCAUAGUAAAUACGACCAUUAUAAAUAUAAUUGAAAAAGUUACACCAAAGUAUAUGUUUACAUGAUUCAAAUCAAUUAUAUUAUGAUAACAAAAUGAAUUGUUUGACGAUUUAUCGUCUCAUCCUCAAAACGCUGUUGAUUUCCUGUUUCACUAAAUUCCUGAGAACACAAGUAGUUUUGAAAAAGUGUCAACACAAAGGUUGGUGAGUUCAUAAGCUUUUGAUAGUAAAAGUUUGAAAAUCGAUCUUUGUAAUGAGUUGUAUGUUAGCAAGAAAAAUCCAAUAUUUUCCUUAUAAAAUUUAUGCGGUCCUAAAUACCAGGACCGGGAAUGAACAAGUAUUUGUCAUACUUAAAGAUAUAAAAGUGGUUUUAAAUUGGCGUAAAACCCUUUUUAAUUUGAGAAGAAUCCUGUAAUGAAUGAUGUGUAGUCUUAAAUACCAAUACCGAAAGUAUACAAUAAAAUCUGUAAUUAUUGGUGUAAAAAGUGAUUUUAAAUCGACAUAAAACCCUUUUUGAUAUGAAGGCGUACAAGUAUUUACCCAUACUUAAGGUAAUUUCUAUGAGCUAAAUCGAUAUAACUCGCUAAUUUAAGAGUAGAACCCGUAAAUCUUAUGAUUUGUUAAUACCACAUGUGAGCUAUUAUAACCAUACUUGACAUAGAUGGCCUCGUAAUACGACGUUCUUUAGGCGUCGCCGUUAAAUGACACUUGUCACCUUAGACCUGUCGGUCUAGCUGUUGCAAGCAGCUCAGGUGUGGGUUUGUCAAAUCCAAUGUAGAUCUAUACACAACUAUCACGUUCUCCCUACAAGAGACUUUGGUUACAAUUUACAGGACUUUUUGACUUUGUUACGAUAAAGGUAACCCGAAGGGAAUGACUCACAAAUUUAUUCAUUAACAGAUUUACGUGAACUAAACUGAAAAAUCUUUGAUAAAUAAGUUUGAAAGUAAAUGAUACAUAAACUAUACCUAUUAUAGUUUAUCCAAAACAUUUGUAAUGUAUAAGAACUCUUUUAUGAAAAUACAUUAGUGCUAUGAAUCCAUAAACUAUGCUUAUUGUAGCUUAAUACAUGUGUUCUAAAUGAAUGAAGAAUCUUAUCGUAAAUGUCUAAAUUUCAGUUUAUGAUGAUAAACUAACAAGAAAACACAUUCAAUACUUAGAACUUAUUGUUAUACACUUUGCUCAACGUAAUACAAAGUGUUAUGAAAGUUAUAAGCUGGUAACUAGUUUUUAACCUUUUCUGCACUGCUUUAGAAAAAUCAUACAAAGUCGAAAACUGAAUCCGUAAAUUCUGAGAAUUCAUAAAAUGUGUCUAGUUUAUUCAUAAUUUUUAUCAUGAUUUUUGGGAGUCUUUAACUUGUGUUAAAAUGUCCAUAUUCACAGACUGGUCCGUAUUUGUUCUUGAAGUGAUAGGCUGUUUUGCAAAAAUCACCAUAAAUCGUACAAAAAUCUUGUGGAGAUGUACAAGUAGUCAUUUUAAAGCUAAGAACCGGAACUACUUGCACCUAAAACAGUUUUGAAAACUAAAAUGUUUAAGUUGCCCAAAACAGUCUGUGAAUGGAGUCCAACUUUUCUGACGAAAGCUGUUAGAAAAGUUUAGUUAUGUUCUUGGUGUUUUAACUUGUAUUCCCCCCCUUAAAACUUAAGAAAACAUGAAAAGAUAGGGGUAUGAACUCACCUUAGAUGAUUUCAGUGGGUGAAUGUUGAAGGAGAGAAAUGUUCAACUCAAGAACACUUGGAGGAUUGCUUGAAGAUUCAAGAAUCUAACACAAUUAUGAUGGAGUUUGUGUAAGAAAUCAAUGAUUUGAGUAAAAGGAAGUGUAAUAACCAUAUGAAGGGUGAUGAUNNNNNNNNNNNNNNNNNNNNNNNNNNNNNNNNNNNNNNNNNNNNNNNNNNNNNNNNNNNNNNNNNNNNNNNNNNNNNNNNNNNNNNNNNNNNNNNNNNNNNNNNNNNNNNNNNNNNNNNNNNNNNNNNNNNNNNNNNNNNNNNNNNNNNNNNNNNNNNNNNNNNNNNNNNNNNNNNNNNNNNNNNNNNNNNNNNNNNNNNNNNNNNNNNNNNNNNNNNNNNNNNNNNNNNNNNNNNNNNNNNNNNNNNNNNNNNNNNNNNNNNNNNNNNNNNNNNNNNNNNNNNNNNNNNNNNNNNNNNNNNNNNNNNNNNNNNNNNNNNNNNNNNNNNNNNNNNNNNNNNNNNNNNNNNNNNNNNNNNNNNNNNNNNNNNNNNNNNNNNNNNNNNNNNNNNNNNNNNNNNNNNNNNNNNNNNNNNNNNNNNNNNNNNNNNNNNNNNNNNNNNNNNNNNNNNNNNNNNNNNNNNNNNNNNNNNNNNNNNNNNNNNNNNNNNNNNNNNNNNNNNNNNNNNNNNNNNNNNNNNNNNNNNNNNNNNNNNNNNNNNNNNNNNNNNNNNNNNNNNNNNNNNNNNNNNNNNNNNNNNNNNNNNNNNNNNNNNNNNNNNNNNNNNNNNNNNNNNNNNNNNNNNNUGCGGCUCCGGAUGGCUUCUCCUGGGGCUUCGGUUCUACUCUAGACCUCGGUUCAAGAGGGACUGGGCCCCUAAGGGGAGGCUUCGGUCCCAAGGGGUCUUUUUCCAAGAUUUUACCCCUCCUUGAGCGGUUUCUUAUCAAGCCGAGUAUCGGAAGGCCCCCAAAUGAUCAAAAUAAAUAAAAAGGGGUUUUGAGAGAGAUUUGGGAGAGAUUUCACAUACUAAGAGAGAUUUCUCAUACAAAGAGAGAUUUGGGAGAGAUUUCACAUACUUGGAGAGAUUUCUCAUACAAAGAGAGAUUUAGGAGAGAUUUCACAUACUGAGAGAGAUUUCUCAUACAAAGAGUGAUUUGGGAGAGAUUUCACAUACUUAGAGAGAUUUGUGAAAACGAUUGAGAGAGGUUUCGUGUGUGACAUUUGUGAGUGUCCGGCUUCGCAACGCAAGGUCCGUAAACCCCGUUAAGCCAUGUUUAAGGAUCUUACACACUCCCGAUGAGUAUGCAACAUUGUUUAUUGGUUUGGUUCAUUACUUAACGCCGUUUUAGGUUAAUGAAAUCUAGAUAUACAAACUUUUCAAUUGAUGAUUUCUCAUUACAAUAAUGAGUUGUACGGAAAUAACAUAGCAUAAACCCUAGUACACAAGGGUUAAUUGGGUUGACCAGUUUGACUUGUUGACUUUAUUUGACUUUGACUUGACCAAAAUUUGACGGUUGUCACAGCGUAGGACCACAAAAUACAAAGGAAAUGUUGUGCCCAAGGGUUUACGGCAGUAAACCCCAGUGUUUACGACCGUAAACUCCCAAGGAGUGGUCCAAGGACCGCAAACUCCAAAGGAGUACCCCUUUUGACCCUAACCACUCCACAAGCCUUAGAUGUGAUCUUAGAACCCUUCUUAGUGAUGCAAGAGACCUUAAAGCACACAAAUACACUCCUCCCAUGAGUUUACAGCCGUAAACUCAUGGGAGAAUUGGUCCCUCAACCAAAAACUCACCUAGGAUGAGUAUUUGAGGAGUAAACUCCAUAGUGAGGCCUUACACCCCUUCAUUUCUACCCAAUAGCCUCCUAACACUUGACCAAAGCAUUUUUCUUCGCAUUAGGAUGUCUAUACGUGUUUAAUUAGUGUUCUAAUCACUAAUUGUAUGUAAACAUAUGUUACUAGGGUCAUUAAGUGUGUCCAAGUCUUCACUUGACAUCAAGCACUCAACCGACACUUCCAUUCGAUCCACUCGCUGCAGGUGAGUUCAUACCCCUUAAUUAACCUUUCAAAUGUUUUUAAAUGCUUUUAUGGGGGGAUACAAGUUGAACCCAACAAUUUAUAGUAUCAAUCACAUGUGAUUUGUAGCUUACAACCAUAAAGGAUAUGUAUACUUUUAACCGUUUUGCCAUCAUAUCUGCUUUCAAUGUUUUCAAAUUCAUUUUCAUGAUAUUUUGUUAUAAAAACUAUUUUCAAAUUCUUUCAAAGCUUCUUAUGUUUCUAAAAUGUACCCACACAAAUAUAUUUAUAUAAGUAAGACUUGAAGGACUUAGGACUGAUAGCUCGCCUUAAUUCCUGUUCUUGUUUGAUUGGGGUCUUAGGGUAAUUUGUUAUCUAUCCGACUAUCGUUGAAUUCUUAGUUAUAUAUUGUAUAUAAUUGUGUUGGAUAUGAAUACCUUCACUCAGUUCAAUACUUAUGAGUAUCCAAGAGUGACUGCAACAUGCCAGUUAACUAUAAUAGGUAUAGUUAAGGUUUACCACUCUUCACUACCAUUACUAUGAUACUUACCACGGUUAGUGCUAUUAUGAGUCGCUACCUUAUAAGUACUAUACAGGAAGAAUACUAUAUGCUAUACAAAAGAAAAAUUAAAUACAUUAUACUGAGAAGUACACUAUACACUAAUACAAGAGAACAUACUAAAGCAGAAUGUGAGACACUAUCUCUCUAUACGACACUUAAAUGCGCCUUCACCAUGUAACCUUAGUCUCCUGGAGGGAGAGCGGGCUUUACGCGUAUAGAUCUAUAUAGGGCAGACACUCACACAUCCCGACUGCUAGCUACAGUCUGAGCCGACUAGGCCCAGGGAUGAUAACAUGCUACCACACUACGUAUGACCUGGAGGGUCAUGAUACAUUCAAUCGCCUAUCCGCCUAGUUACAUACAGAUUCACAUUCGGAUCCCUAAAUUAACAAAUUAAGAAUCAAAGGUAAAGUAGACUCCCCAAGGUGUAUUAUAUACUUAUCACCACCUAGAGUCUGCAGUUUAUUUACCAUUUAGUCGGCAGUAACACUGUUAGGAUAAUACAUUAUUUUCCCCAUUUACUUUGUUCAAAUGAAGUCCAAAUUAUAUUUUUAUAAUUGAAAGUCUAAUUGGGAAAACUUUUACACACUCAAAGGAUCAAACCUACAAGUAACCAAGUCUUGGCAGAAGACUACUUUUACUGGAAAAUAUAGGAUUUUCUAGAGAUUUACACUAUUUUCAAACUUGAUAACAACUUUCACGUUAUACAAUUGUAAAUACUUUUAUACAAGCAAUGACACUAAAUUCUUAUGAACUCACCAGCUUUAUGCUGAUACUCGUUUUCAAAAAAAUUUGUAUUCUCAGGUCGGUAAUAGAUAGGUACAGAUGCAGCUUUUGAGAAGACGGAGCGCAUACAUGACUCCUCUUUAUUUUUUAUUAUACAUUUUGGUGUUUAACAAACUAUACAGAACACGCUUGUAUUACAAUUACUAUAUUAAUACAAUGGAUGUUGUUGCUUGUUUUUACUAUUAUGCAUUGUUAUGAUAUUAUACAUGACGUCCUCCAACCCAGCAUGUAUUCCGCCGUUCUAGGUUUUGGGGUGUGACAGUCCUCCACCCCAGAACGUAUUCCGCCGUUCUCGGUUUUGGGGUGUGACAAAUUGGUAUCAGAGCAUUGUUUAUAGUGAAUCAAGUAUAUAAACCCAUAAAAGAUAUACGAAGUAUAAAUACAUCGGGUUAAAACACUCUGACCAAGAAUAUUUACUUUUAAAUAAUAAAAUAUUUAACUAAGUAUAUAUAUACAUCCAUUAAUACAAAGGAUCAUCAUACUAGAACAGAACAAAAGUAUUAAGAUUGUUGAACAACACAAUUAGGCUUAGAGAAAUAUAGUCAAGUCUGGGUGAAUGUAGCCUGAUCAACUACGUUUUCCUAGGAGUGACUAGCAUGUGCCUAAGAAUGGUUGUGGUGUUGCAACAAGUCUAAAAACUUACCCACACUACCACAAGAACGUUAGAACAAGAAUACUAUAGGAGUAUUCCGCAAUUCGGUGAUUUACAUAUGUGAGAACUAAAAGGGUCGUUGCUAGUAGGACAAUAGUUGCUAAGUGAAUACCCGAUGGUUACAUGUGAUUAAGACAUUAUAGACUUAGAAUAUGUGGUCUUUACUUUAUUUCCUGUUCCUUGUUUGGUUGUGGAUUUAGAGUUAGGAUCACUUAUUCGAAGGCAUGUCCUGUCUCGGUUACAUGUAAUUGGUAUGCAUUAUGCAAGUAUUGGGUCGACUAACAAUGAUCAUCUUAUAAGAAUCCUAGAUUAGUAUGUCUAUUAACCUUUCUUUCCCCAUUCUCGCGUAGAUAGCAUGGCUGGCUUCCACCAUCCCGGUGAUCUGUACUAUCCAAACCAAGGCAUUGGAAGAUGGCUCGAAGAGGAGUCAGAAGACGAUCACCCGAUCCCUUUGGAUGAUCACCGUAUAGAAGGCUUUUCGGAUGGCUCCAACUCCGAACCAGAAGUCAACAACCUACCCCCUGUAGCUCCGAACCCCAACCCCCGCCCAGCAUUCCAAGGUCCCACUCCCAUGUGGGAAACAACCUUGGAUCGAUGGAGCGAUGAACAGGGCCAACCCUUAACUUUCAAUGGAGACUGAAGCUUUUACAACAUAAGCGAGGGUGGCUCGGCUGAUCGAGCCCUACCCGUCAUGGUCCGGAGGAUUGCUAGGAACGUCGAGCAAGGUCAUGCAGCUAUCGGCAGAGUUGUGGAAAUUGAUGCCAACUCUAACCUGAAAACUGUUCGUAUCCGCCAGCUGGAAGACGCCAUGGAUAGGACUAGGAGGACCAAUGAGGCUCUGCAGCAACAUCUAGCUGCAUCUCGAGCUGAAGUCAGGGAACUCCGAGCGCAUCAGAGGGCUCAUGAACGACAUCUUUAGGAAGUUGUACGUCAACUGGCUGAUCUUAGGAUUCGCCCAAGGGAUACUCGUCGCUAGUAGAAGAUGUCAACUUGUCUUCCUCUUUUGUUUAAGGAAUAGCCUUUUCUUUUCUAUGCUCGGUAGAGCACUUGUCUGUAAACAUUUCUAACUCUGAAAGUACCUUAUCUAGGCUCCUAGACUGCCAACAUUUUCUCUUAUGGUUUGAUGUAAGACCUACUGUUAGGUCACUUUUCCCGAACUCAUAUUAGAUCAUUAAUACCAGUAAUAUUGGCAGGUACCUACUCUGUUGCUAUGACUCUAUCUGAUAGUUGGACUAUGUCGAUUUAGUCCAUGGAAUACUCUCAUCAUAUAUGCAAUUGAUUCUUACUACUGUCAUCACCUCUAUAAACUUUCAGUAAAAGAUGCCUCCCCGCAAGUGCUCGAACAGAGGCAGACUUGUGAUUCAAACUCCACCUCCACCACCUCCUCCUCCGCAGUUCGACCCGGUGCUUUUUCAGACAGCUGUAACCGCAGCGAUGACUGCAACUAUGGCCCAAAUGAAUUCUGGCGAUGCAAGUGGAGCCGGAAUGGGCACCAACUCUAGACAUGGUGAAAUCCACCCACGUGCACAGGGGUGCACCUAUAAGGAUUUCAUGAGCUGCAAACCAACAAUCUUCAAUGGAACCGGAGGGAUCAUUGCACUGUCCCAAUGGAUCGAAAGAACCGAACUCAUUUUUGAAAUGUGCUCGUGCCCCGAGGAAAGAAAAAUCAAGUUCGUUGCUGCUACCUUCACUAAAAGGGCCCUUACAUGGUGGAAUAGCCAUGUCAAUUCACUCUCUUUGGUGACAACCAAUGCCAUGGGCUGGGACACAUUGAAGGACCUUCUGAGAAGGGAGUACUGUCCUAGGGGUGAAGUACAGAAACUCGAGGAGGAACUCUGGAACCUCAAAAUGAAGGGGACCGACAUAGUGGCUUAGACAGCCAGGUUCUGCGACCUGGUAGCUAUGUGCCCUAACAUGAUCCCUUCUAAAAGCAAGAAAAUUGAACGAUACAUCUGGGGUUUAGUGCCCCUAUAUCGAGGGAACGUUCUAGCAUCACACCCUACGACCUUUGACAGGGCCAAGGAAUCGGCCCACAGGUUGAUUGAUCAUGAAGUUCCUUCCACUCCGUCAACAACAACAGCAGCUGCCACCACACCGACCAAGACAUCCAACAACAAGAGGAAGCGGUGGGACCGAAAGAAAGGCAAUUCAACUCAAUCCUCCUCCAAAAACCAACAAACUGUGGCUGUCCAUGCCGUCACUACUCCUGCUACCCCUGUACCAGCAAAAUCCUAUGCCGGAAACCUGCCCCAGUGCCCAAAGUGCCCCUUCCAUCAUAACGGACCCUGCCGUGAAUUGCACUGCACAAAUUGAGACCAGAAGGGCCAUACCGCCCGGUUUUGCAAAUCUCAACCCAAAUCAAUUUCUUAGGUCCCCGAGUCGAGAGUAAGUCAGGCCUGUUAUGGAUGUGGCGAGGUAGGGCAUUUCAAGAAAAACUGCCCGAAAGUUGGGAAUGCGGGAGGAACAGGGAGACCACUUGCUAUUGGCCACAAUGAAGCGGUAGCAGACCCCACAGUAGUCACGAAAACGUUCCUUCUCGAUAACUCUUAUGCUUGUGUCCUAUUCGAUAGUGGGGCGGAAAGAAGCUUCGUAAACCAAAACUUUAAAUGCUUACUUAAACAAUCCCCGCAACCAUUAGGAGAAACUUUCGUCGUACAAUGGCUAACGAAAAGACAGAGAAUUCUAACGAAAUUUACUUGCGUAAGGAAUAUCGUGCAUUCCUUGCACACGUCGUCGAUACAAGCCAGAAAGCAAAAGACCUAAAAGACUUCCCCAUAGUAUGCGACUUCCCUGACGUCUUUCCAGAGGAGCUACCAGGUUUACCUCCCCAACGUCAGUUUGAGUUCAGGAUCGACUUAAUUCCAGGAGCUACCCUCGUAGCCAAAUUUCCCUAUCGUCUAGCGCCUACUGGGGAGCAGCGGUCUUGUUCGUAAAGAAGAAGGAUGGAUUGUUCUGUAUGCGCAUCGAUUACAGAGAACUCAACAAGCUGACGGUCAAAAACCGCUACCCUCUUCCUCGUAUAGACGACCUGUUUGACCAACUACAAGGGGCGAGUUACUUUUCCAAGAUUGAUCUUAGGUCCGGGUAUCACCAGUUACGAGUGCUUCAGGAGGAUGUGCCGAAAAUAACCUUCCGAAUUCGUUACGGACACUACAAGUUCGUAGUGAUGUCGUUCGGACUGACCAACGCGCCUGCAGUAUUCAUGGAUUUUAUGAAUAGUGUGACAACCCGAAGUUCAUUCCGUUAUUGUAACCCGUUUCAAUAAAUUAAGCCGUUACGUUCCAAUUUUUCCGUUAGCUUUGUUUUAAGUUAAUUUAUUGCGACUUCUAUUUAGGUUUUAAACGUGUCGAGAAUACAUUUUUAAAACAUUAAAAUAUUUUCUAUUAUCAUUUAGAAAAUAUUUAGUUUCAUUUAAGUCGUAAUUACGGCAACUUUAUCGGGUACGACCAAAAGCAUCGUAUAACGUUAGUAUCGGGUAGAAUUCCACUGGGUCUCAAACCCAACCCCUAUAUAAAGGUUGAGUAGACAACUUUUGAAGACUUUUGACCAUCUCAUUACUCUCUCUCUCUCUCUCUCUAAAACUCGAAAUUGAGCCAAAAAUCCUCCUUUCAAGCUUCAUUUUGGUAACGAAUCUAUCCUAGCAUGUUUCUAAGCUUGUUUAUCAUUCAAAUUUGUGUUUAAACUACUCAAAACACCCAUGAACAUGUGUUUACGGUUUGGGGACCCUCCCAAAACCGUGAACUCUUCUAAAGAGGGUUUUGAAGCCCCAAAACCCCACUAAAUCACUUCUAGUGCUUAGUUAAGACCUUUAGAAUUGCAUGCAUGAGAUUAGGACCCCAAAAUCGCACCAUUUGACGCAUGGACAUGAAUUUACGAUCCAAGAACAUGCUUGGACUGUAAACCCUCAUUCAUAGACCUUAAACACCUUUUAGGGUGUUAGUUUGCCCCUAAACACCUCCAAUAAACUUCCACGAGUGCAUAGAACCUUAAAAUCCUUCAAGAAAUGCACCAAAUCUUACACAAAUGGGAAAAAAUUGAGUUUACGGUCCAAGAACAUUCUUAGACCAUAAAAUCGUCUCCUUAGACCAUAAACUCUUCAAAUGGGUGUUAAAGUGCCUUUAACACCUUGUAUGGCUUGGAAUUGAACCUAGAACCUUGUAUGCUUAACUUUCAACCACUAAAACCCAUGAAUAUUGGACAAACAUGAGUUUACGGUUGUAAACUCAUGUGUUUAAGGUAGUAAACUCCCAAGAACAUCUUCAUAGGCCGUAAACUACUUUUCCAAGGUCAAUUCAAGUCCCAAACACUUUCUAAGCCAUAGAAUCAACCCUAGAACCUUCCUAUGUGCAUUGUAAUUGACCUAAGACCACCAAAACACAUUGAAACAUGCCACACAAGAGUUUACGGCCAUAAACUCAUAGUUUACUGCCGUAAACUCCUCAAAUGGUCCUUAGGAUGUUCUAAUCUCAUUCAAAAGCCUUGAAACCAAGUCUAGCAUCAACCCACAAGUGUUAUAAGACCAUUUAGCAACCAAGAACACCCUACCAUGAGUUUACGGCCGUAAACUCAUGGGGAAUGGGUCAUUUGGACCGUAAACUCCCAAAGGAGUUAACUCCUGGGGAGUAAACUCCAUAUCCAAACCAUACUCGUCCAUAGAUGCUACUCGGGUCACUCCAAACACUUGGAUUGAAGUGUUUUGACGUCUAGAAGUGUUUACUCUUAUCUAAUUAGUGGUUUGAAGUCUAAUUAGAUACAUUUAUGUAUCAUUCCAUAUUAUAUAGGAACCUCGCGCGUUAUCAAGCCCCGAACUGACACUUAGCAUCCAAAUCGACUCGUUUUCUCGACUGGUGAGUUCAUACCCCUACCCUUUUUCAAUGUUUUUCAUUGUUUUCAGGGGGGAUACAAGCAAAGUACAAGGAAUACUUGUACUCAAAACUUGUUUUAUAUGUGUUGUGUUUCAUAUUACAUAUGCUUUUAACACUGACAAUCGUAACAGAUAACCGUUUGAACUUGCAGAACACAUUAUCGUAUUAUUUGUGAAAAACAUUAUAAAAUGUUGUAUUUUAUAUUUUCACAAAUGGUUUUUUUUCCACAUUAUAAUAGUUAAAAGCAUAACCUUUGAAUUUUGAACAUGAAACCUAGUACAUUGUUUUGUCCUCGGUAACACUCCACAGAGAUACGCAAGUGGAGGAUCAUCGUUUGUAAUAGGAUCUUUCUGUAUUAUUACUAGUAAAUUUGUUAUUUGAUUAUAAAAUGUUGUAUUUUAUAUUUUCACAAAUGGUUUUUUUUCCACAUUAUAAUAGUUAAAAGCAUAACCUUUGAAUUUUGAACAUGAAACCUAGUACAUUGUUUUGUCCUCGGUAACACUCCACAGAGAUACGCAAGUGGAGGAUCAUCGUUUGUAAUAGGAUCUUUCUGUAUUAUUACUAGUAAAUUUGUUAUUUGUAUAAAUUGGAGACACAUCCUCGGGAACACUCCACAGAGAUACGCGAGUGGAGGACCGCUUCUGUAACCAAAAUCUCUUGGAUAGGGAGCGUGACUUGAGUGUAUAGAUCUAUACGGGGCUGACUACCCCACACCUGGCUGCUAGCUACAGCCGAACCGAAAGGUUCAAGGGUGACGAAAGUCAUAAAGUGAUGUGGACUACAUAUUGCCAUAUCUAGUCUAUCGUAUGGUUAUGGAACUCGCAAUUUGGAUAACAGAGAUUUACUUGUUAGUAAUAAUGGGUUAGUAAUUUGUUUACUUUAUAUUUAUUAGUUUUAUGUGCAUGUUAAAACUAAUACACUUCACAAGGAUAACCAGGUUUUUCAGUAUACAUCUUUACAUUUCGGAUGGGUAACCAACUUUUAGGAAAAUAUGGGAUUUUCCUGGGGUAACAGUUGUACAUAACCAGAAUCGUGUAACAAACCAGAUAAAUAAACUUUACAUAUAAGAAAAUAUGGGAUUUUAUUGGAUACAUAACUUUUUCAGAAACCGAAAGGAAACUUGUUCAUCUUCAGAAAACAAAAUACUUAUGAACUCACCAGCCUUAUGCUGAUUUUCAAACUGCUUGUAUUCUCAGGUCCACAUUAGACAGGUACCCAGUGAUCCUUUUUGGCGAAGACGGAGUGCGUAGAAGAUGCGUCCUUACUUUUGUUCAUAUAUACAUAUGUAUAACAACUGUAAUACUUGGUUUUCAAACAAAUGUAAAAUUUUAAUAUGUAAUGGAAUGUUUGUUUACUUCGCUUACUAUGUACAUUGGUUGUGAUACAUACAUGAAGUCACCUCCGCCCCAGAACGUUUCCGCCCUAGGUUUCAGGGUGUGACAGAUUGGUAUCAGAGCCCUUGUUUAUAGUGAACUAAGUUUACCAAACCUUACAUGGUAUAAGACUAUAAACACUAAGGGGCCUAAGUGCUCUGAACUAAAAGUAUACUCUAAAAUAUAAGUAUUUUCAAAAAGUAUAUAAGUAUACCUACCCGUCGAGAUCCGUAAUUACAAGUAGAAAAAAACAUAAGUAAAUGGGUGUUGUACGUUGCGGUUAAACCUGGGCAGUUAUGUAGUCGUGUCUAGGAUCAAUAUAGCCUGGCCAACUAUAUUCAUUCGAGACACGGCCAACAUGUGCUUGGGAGUGACUGUGUUAUACAGCAUGCCUAAAACUUACCUAAUACCAAACAAUGAGCUGUCGUCACAGCAAAUCACGAAAUACUUUGGGAGUAUUUCUAGAGCCAACUUCGUUAUAGAAAUCCUCAUUCCGACAUUGCUCCUCGAUCAUUCUUGUAGCGAUAAUUUAUCUGCUUUGAUAACUCAUUCCUGCUUUAUCGCUUAAUAGAAUUCAAUAUCUGUCAUAUCUCUUGAUUCAAUUCAGAGGACUUACCAUCCUCUCCUUCCUGAUCUUAUUAGAUCAACAUGCCUCCAAGAAAGAGACCUAGCUCAAAGAACAACAAUCCUCCUCCGCCACCACCUCCUCCUCAAUUUGACCCUAUGAUGUUCCAGGCAGCUGUUACUACCGCAGUAACAGCCGCCAUGUCUCAAAUGAACCUAGGUGGUUCAGGAGGUGGUCCCCAGCCCCAAAACCAAGAAGAUAGCCAGGGACACCGAAAAGAGGGUUCCUAUAAAGAUUUCAUGAACGCGAAACCCACGUCCUUUGAUGGCACUGGAAGUGUCAUUUCCCUCACCCGAUGGUUCGAGAAAAUCGAAUCUAUCUUUGAAAUCUGUGCCUGUUCGGAAUCUGAAAAAGUAAAGUUUGCCGCCUGUACCUUUAUCGAUAAAGCCCUGACUUGGUGGAACGGCCGAGUCAAAUCCCUAACUCUACCUGUAGCCAAUGAUAUGGGUUGGGAAGCCAUGAAAGAACUCCUUCUAGCUGUGUACUGCCCUCGGGGCAAAAUACAGAAGUUAGAGCACGAGCUCUGGAACCUGAAGAUGAAGGGUUCCAAUAUUGCCGCAUACACUUCGAGAUUUGAUGACUUGCCGCUACUCUGUCCGGGAUUGGUUACCCCGGAGAGUAAGAAGAUCGAGAGAUUUAUCUGGGGGCUGACCCAACCGACCAAAGGAAAUGUCUUAUCUGCGAGGCCGGAUAUAUAUGACAGUGCCAAAAGCUUAGCCCAAACUCUGAUUGACCACACUGAUGAUGUUGAGGAAACGACCGCCACUCCUAAACCGACCAAGAGGAGUGGUGAGAAAAGAAAGUUUUGGAAGAAGAAGAAAGGCCAACCUUCUCAAGGAUCCUCAAAGAAACAGCAGACUGUAGCAGUCCAUGCUGCUACUACCCCUGUUGCUGCUACUUCUGCCGUGGGAUCCACAGCUCAAACACCUACUAGCAGGUAUGCUGGUAACCUUCCUCAGUGUGAAAAGUGUAAAUACCACCAUAACCCCGGCCCCUUCCGUGAGCUAUCAUUCACCAACUGUGGUAAAAAGGGGCACACGAUCCGAUUCUGCAAAGCACCAGCCCAAUCAGCCAAUCAAUCUUUCCGGAGCAGGUGCUGGUCAAGCCUGCUACAAUUGUGGAGAAGUUGGGCAUUCAAGAGAAACNUGCCCCAAGAAGGCGACAACUGAUAGUACCGGGAGAGUCCUAGCCAUGGGACGGGAGGAGGCAGUCGCCGAUCCAACUGUUGUUUCGGGUACGUUCCUUCUCGACAACUCUUAUGCUAGUGUUCUUUUCGAUUUGGGUGCCAAAAUAAGCUUUGUUAGUCAUUCGUUCAAACAUAAUGUUAAACCUAAUCCCCAACCAUUAAUCGAAGCGUUUACCGUCGAGAUGGCUAACGGUGAGAAAGAAAGCGCCAACGAUGUGUUCGUAGGUUGUACCCUUACCCUGAACGACCAUUCCUUUCCCAUUGAUCUUAUGCCAGUUUCCAUAAAGAGCUUUGAUGUCAUCAUUGGAAUGGAUUGGUUGAGUCUCAAUCAUGCUGAUAUCCUUUGUUACGAAAAAGCCAUUCGUCUCAACCUUCCUUCUGGUCAGACUCUCAUGAUCUAUGGAGAUAAGCUUAGCUCCAAUAGUCGUAUCAUUUCCUGCAUCAAAGCUCAAAAGCUUCUGUGGAAGGAAUGCCAAGCAUUCCUAGCCCAUGUCAUCAAUGAGAAAUAGGAAGUUAAAGACCUCGCGAGCAUCCCCGAAGUCUGUAACUUUCCUGAUGUCUUUCCCGAAGAGCUCCCGGGAAUUCCUCCUGAACGCCAAGUUGAGUUUCGCAUCGACCUAAUCCCUGGAGCUACCCCCGUAGCCAAGUCUCCAUAUCGCUUAGAUCCAGCAGAAAUGUAGGAGUUAUCCAGCCAACUCAAAGAGUUGCUCAGCAAAGGGUUCAUCAGACCGAGUUCCUUACCCUGGGGAGCUCCGGUUUUGUUUGUAAAGAAGAAAGAUGGAUCCUUCCGGAUGUGUAUCGACUACCGUGAGCUGAACAAGUUAGCUGUCAAGAACCGAUAUCCUCUUCCUCGAAUUGAUGACCUCUUUGACCAACUUCAAGGAGCCAGCUACUUCUCAAAGAUAGACCUUAGGUCAGGGUACCAUCAGCUACAAGUUCAUGAGAGUGAUGUUUCCAAAACAACUUUGUGGACUCGGUAUGGACACUACGAAUUCGUAGUGAUGCCCUUCGGUCUAACCAAUGCACCGGUUGUGUUCAUGGACCUGAUGAACCGGGUGUGUCGUCCCUUCUUAGACAAGUUCGUCAUCGUGUUCAUUGACGACAUACUUGUCUACUCCAGAAGUGAAGAAGAUCACAAGCAACACUUGAGGUCAGUGUUGGAAACCCUUAGAUCCGAAAAGUUGUACGCGAAAUUCUCCAAGUGUGAAUUCUGGAUUCGGAAGGUAGCUUUCCUUGGUCACGUGGUUAGCGAAGAGGGUAUUCACGUGGAUCCAUCCAAGAUCAAAGCGAUAGAGAAUUGGUCGGCACCAAAGACACCCACAGAAAUUCGUCAAUUCUUGGGUCUCGCCGGUUAUUAUCAGAGAUUCAUCCAAAAAUUUUCUAGAAUCGCCAAACCUCUAACCACUCUAACACAGAAAGCUGUACCCUUUUGUUGGAGUGAAAAACAAGAAAACGGAUUUCAAACAUUAAAGAGAGCCUUGUGUAGCACACCGGUCCUAUCCCUGCCCGAAGGAACAGAGGACUUCGUUGUUUAUUAUGAUGUGUCUAACCAGGGCUUAGGUUGUGUGCUUAUGCAAAGGGGAAAAGUGAUUGCAUAUGCCUCGAGACAGUUGAAGGCACACGAGGUCAACUAUACCACUCAUGACUUGGAACUAGGAUUCAUAGUCUUUGCACUGAAGAUUUGGAGACAUUAUCUCUACGGAACCAAGUGUACGAUCUUCACUGACCAUAAGAGCCUGCAGCACAUCUUCAAUCAGAAGGACUUAAACAUGAGGCAACAGCGGUGGGUAGAGCUGCUCAGCGAUUAUGAGUGUGAGAUUCGCUACCAUCUCGGAAAGGCCAAUGUGGUAGCAGAUGCCCUUUGCCGAAAGGAUAGCUCAAGCUAAAAAGUGAAGACCCUGACGAUGACUAUCCAUUCCCAUCUAUCCAUGCAAAUCCGAGAAGCCUAAUUAGAAGCCCUUAAACCUGAGAACGUGUCAAGCGAAGCCUUGAGGGGAAUGGAUAAAAACUUGAGAUCAGAGGUGACGGAGUCUACUGUUUCAUUGACCGAAUCUGGAUUCCAAAGUUCGGAGGAUUCAGGGAAGUUAUCAUGGAGGAAGCGCACAAGACUAGAUACUCCGUUCACCCGGGUUCUGAUAAGAUGUACUUGGAUCUCAAGAAACAAUACUGGUGGCCCAACAUGAAAGCCGAGAUAGCUACAUUCGUGAGCAAGUGCCUGACUUGUGCCAAGGUGAAAGUUGAGUACCAGAAACCCUCGGGUCUGCUCCAGCAGCCCGCAAUACACGAGUGGAAAUAGGAGAUGAUUACCAUGGACUUCAUCAUCAAGUUACCCAAGUGUCCGAGUGGGUACGACACCAUUUGGGUAAUUGUCGAUCGUUUGACAAAAUCCGCUCACUUCAUUCCGAUCAAAGAAUCAUUCAAGAUGGAAAGACUCACGCGAAUAUACAUCCAAGAGGUAGUCCGACUGCACGGUGUACCUGCGUCCAUUAUCUCUGAUCGAGAUAGCAGGUUUACCUCUAGAUUUUGGCAGUCUCUCCAGAAGGCUCUUGGAAGUAAACUAGACAUGAGCACGGCUUAUCAUCCUCAGACCGACGGACAGACUGAGAGAACUAUCCAAACCUUGAAAGACAUGCUUAGAGCAUGUGUUAUCAAUUUCGGCAAGUCGUGGGACACACAUUUGCCUUUGAUUAAGUUCUCGUAUAACAACAGUUACCACACUAGUAUCAAGGCUGCCCCGUUUGAAACCCUCUACGGUCGCAAGUGCAGAUCCCCUCUGUGCUGGGCCGAGGUAGGGGACACGCAGCUAGCCAAGAGUCGAUUUCCCGACAGUGCUCUCACUGGUCCUGAAAUCAUUCGCGAAACCACCGAAAAGAUUAUCCAAAUCCGGGAACGAUUGAAAGCUUCACGAGAUCGCCAGAAGAGUUACGCCGAUAUAUGACGGAAACCUCUGGAGUUCCAGGUUGUAGACCGUGUCCUGUUGAAGGUCUCGCCCUGGAAAGGCAUGAUACGCUUUGGAAAGCGUGGAAAACUUAACCCGAGGUACAUUGGACCUUUCGAGAUCCUCGCCAGGAUCGGUCCGGUAGCCUAUAAACUCUGAUUACCCCAUGAACUUAGUAACAUCCAUCCCAUCUUCCACGUCUCUAACCUUAAGAAGUGCCUAUCUGAUGAAACCCUCGUGAUUCCUUUGGACGAAAUCGAGAUCAAUGAAAACUUGAACUUCGUGGAGGAACCAGUCGAAAUCAUGGAUCGAGAGGUCAAAAAUACGAAGCAAAGCCGCAUCCCGAUAGUGAAGGUUCGCUGGAAUGCCAAGCGGGGACCGGAAUUCACUUGGGAGCGUGAAGACUCGAUGAAACAGAAGUAUCCACAUCUAUUUCUAGAUCCAUGAUUUGUAUCUUAAUCUUGAAUUUCGGGACAAAAUUUCCUCUAACGGGGGAUAAUGUGACAACCCGAAGUUCAUUCCGUUAUUGUAACCCGUUUCUGUAAAUUAAGCUGUUACGUUCCAAUUUUUCCGUUAGCUUUGUUUUAAGUUAAUUUAUUGCGACUUCUAUUUAGGUUUUAAAAGUGUCGAGAAUACAUUUUUAAAACAUUAAAAUAUUUUCUAUUAUCAUUUAGAAAAUAUUUAGUUUCAUUUAAGUCGUAAUUACGGCAACUUUAUCUGGUACGACCAAAAGCAUCGUAUAACGUUAGUAUCGGGUAGAAUUCCACUGGGUCUCAAACCCAACCCCUAUAUAAAGGUUGAGUAGACAACUUUUGAAGACUUUUGACCAUCUCACAACUUUCUCUCACUACUCUCUCUCUCUAAAACUCGAAAUUGAGCCAAAAAUCCUCCUUUCAAGCUUCAUUUUGGUAACGAAUCUAUCCUAGCAUGUUUCUAAGCUUGUUUAUCAUUCAAAUUUGUGUUUAAACUACUCAAAACAGCCAUGAACAUGUGUUUACGGUUUGGCGACCCUCCCAAAACCGUGAACUCCUCUAAAGAGGGUUUUGAAGCUCCAAAACCCCUCUAAAUCACUUCUAGUGCUUAGUUAAGACCUUUAGAAUUGCAUGCAUGAGCUUAGGACCCCAAAAUCGCACCAUUUGAGGCAUGGAGAUGAGUUUACGGUCCAAGAACAUGCUUGGACCGUAAACUCUUUACUAGUACUGCAUCAUAGGGAUGUAGGUCAGACCAUUGAGAUCAGUUUAACCAAAACGAAAAAUUUACAUUCGCAAGAGUGAGUAAAAUACAUCUAGGACCGAUCAUAAUCACUCAUGAAGUCCUUCUCUUUUCAUGUAGCAGAAUCAUGUCGUCAUCCAGAAAUAAUCAGCCGAACAACAAAACCCCGAUCCGUCAUAUAGAGGCCGCUACCUUCCAAGCCGCGGUAACAGCUGCCGUGAAAGCUGUCCUGGCACACCUCAGCUCUAGCAGCGCAAACAAGGUCGGCAAAGGAGUUGACAGUUCAUAUUGUUGUAUGAAUCCGGGAAAUCAACAAAUGGUAAAAGUCACAGGCGUAUAAAGCCGUAAAGCUAAGAAUAAGAAACGGAAGCGUCAAGCCCAAAAGGAGCACAAGCGAUCCCAAAGACUUGCCAUGCAACAGCAACAAAUGGCGACCUGUGCCACUUCAGCACCGGUCAAACAAUAUGAAGGAAAGCUCCCAAAGUGAAGCUUCCAUCAUAAUGGAGCUUGCCGUGAAAUGCAAUGCUGCAAUUGCAACAGAAUAGGGCACCUUGCUCGUGGCUGUGGAGCACCAGCACGACCCACCUCCCAAGUCCCUGGCACCAGAGUCAACCAAGCUUACUAUGGUUGUGGUGAAAUUGGACACUUUAAAUGGGAUUGCCCCAGAAGGAGGAACAACGAAAGCACUCGAGUCUGCAUCACUCCGACCCUGCACACUACUUCAACCACCGGUGUUGGUGUAAGCCAUAUAUGUCAUAUAUGCAGUGAGAUACGACACCUCAAGAAGAAUUGUCCAAUAACAAAGAACUCGGGCGCAGACAGGAAAAUUCUAAAGAUCACCGCCGCUGGAGAGACUACUCCAGAUUCACGUUGAAAUUCUAGUACGUUCUGUAGCGUUAAUGUUAGACUUAUAAACUUUUAAAAACUGGUGCAACUAGAUUCAUAUCUCUUGCGAGAUCCCAUCAGUAUUAGUGACGCUCGUGCUGCUUGUACUUACUUGUUGGCAGUAUACUUUGUUCACAGCUUGUAACAACCCGAAAUUCGUAUCACUGCUUGUAACCCCUUUUCAUGACACAUUUCGAUCAUCCAAUCGCAGUUUCCGAUUCCGGCAUUUAAUUAAGUCAUUAAUGUGUAUUUUAUUUUAUGACUUAAUGGGUAUCCUAAUACCUUUAAAGCUCAUUCUAACACCUCAUAUUAGUGAUCCGAACAUUUCUAGAAUCAACCAUAUCGAGUUACGACAUUUUGAUCGGGUGCAACCUAAAGCCCCGUCUAAUGUCGGUAUUGGGUAGAAUUCCACCGUGUCCCGAACAUGGACACUAUGUAAAGUGAUCCAAGCAUCCAUUUGAAGCUUUUGCUUCAUUUGACAACUCUCUCUCUCUAACCUCUCUCCUCAAACUAGAUUCAAGGUCCCAAAAACAUCAAAUUUAGGCUUCAAAACACCAAGGUAAUCAUCUUAGCUCCUAGUAUAUCAUCCUUAGCCUUCAUUUUCGUGUUCAAAUCAUGGGAUAGGACCAUAAACAUGUGUUUACGGCCCUGGAAUAGCCUUAGGCCGUGAACACAUGAAAAUGGGGUUUUUGAGCAACAAAACCCUUCCAAACCACAACUAGACUUUAGAUAUGGAGUAAGGACUUAAUGGAAUGGACUUAGAAUGCAUCAAACAUGGAUUUUGAAGAGUAAACAUGAGUUUACUGCCCAAGAACAAGCUUGGGCCGUAAACUCCUCAUACAUGGGGAGUAAACUCACUUUUACAUGUUAAAAAGCCAUAUAACUACACCAAAAGCCUUGGAAUAAAUCCUAGAGUCAUCUAAAAAUAGUUUAGGGACCUUAAACAUGUCAAACACCCUCCAAUUAGGUGUUUACGGCCAAGGCACCCCAAGAACAUGUUCAUGGGCCGUAAACUCCUUUAUACAUGUCAAAUGAUACCCUAAAUUCAUACCAAGGCUUGGAAAAUUAGUUAGAAUCACAUGUGAUUAGUUUAAGGCCAUUGAAUCAUCAAUCUAAGGGGGUAUAGGAGUUUACGGCCAUAAACUCCAUGUUUAGGGCCAUAAACUCCCUUAAAUAAUGUCAUUGGUGAUUUAAUUUCCAUCCCAUGCUUUAGGUAAAAUUUUACCAACUCCUUCCAAGUGUUAUNCAUGCAUUCCUCGCACACAUCGUCGAUACGAGUCAAGAAGUGAAAGACAUUCAGAAAAUCCCCGAAGUACGCGACUUUCCGUGAACUCAUGUGUGAGUGAUGUAUAAGGCCGCAAAAUCCAUUAGGAGUUUACUCUUGAAGAGUAAACUCAAUUCCCAAGUCCCUCGUAUCAUUACACGUCCGUAGAUGUCACCCGGGUCACUCCAAACACUCGUUUUGAAGUGUUUUCGCUCAUUGGAGUGUAAUAUUACAUCUAAUUAGUAAUUUAAAAUUUAAUUAGAUAUAUUUGUAUACCAUUUCAUAUUACAUAGGAACCUCGCUCGUAUUCAAGCCUCGAUUCGACGUUUAGCAUCCUAGUCAUCACAUUUCGCGUCCGGUGAGUUCAUACCCCUACCCUUUUUCAAUGGUUUUUCAAUGUUUUCAGGGGGAAUACUGUCACACCCCGAAAACCAAAGGCGGAAACAUUUCCGGGGUUGACUCCAUGUUGAGUAUCAAAUCCAAUGCACAUAGUAAAGCAGUAAUCACAAAACAUUACAUUACAUAAUAUUGUUUACAUCUGUUUAAAAGAAAAGUUGUACAAGUGUUUUAUAUAUGUAAUAUGAACAAAAGCAAAGACGAGACUUCAGGAUGCUCCGUCUUCUCCAAAAGAUAUCGUCGGGUACCUGUCUAUCGCUGACCUGAAAAUACAAGCAGUUUGAAAAUCAGCAUAAAGCUGGUGAGUUCAUAAGCGGUUUAGUUUUGAAAAGACGAGCUCCUUUGUUUUCUGAAAAGUUGUGGUUCAAGAAAAUCCCAUAUUUUCUUAUGAAAAUAGUUUGGUUAUCCUUUGUACAAUUUCGAAAGCGUUGAUUAUGUCGUUCCAGGAAAAUCCCAUAUUUUCCUUAUAGUUUUAGUUAUUCGUUUGUUACUUUACUCGAUUAUGUGUUAAUGUACUACCCAGGAAAAUCCCAUAUUUUCCUAUGUGUUGAGUUGUCUGUUCGUUUCUAGGUUCGUUACUAACUGUUAUGUUAUCCCAGGAAAAUCCCAUAUUUUCCUAUGUGUUGAGUUGUCUGUUCGUUUCUAGGUUCAUUACUAGUUAUUACCAUGUGUAUAAUAUUAGAUAAGUAUUCUGACCCUUCGUUAUUCUACCUUCGUAUGAUUACUAUCUACUAACUUAAUUGUAUUUUCGAAGUUUUGGAACCACACAGAAGCGUAUAUCACAGUAUUCUCGAAGUUCUGUUAAGUUCCAAAAGAGUACAUUUCGUUGUGUAUUCGAAACUCUGUCGACAUUCUGAGGCGGAUAUAUUUGAAGCUCAGUAGAGGUCCAGAGGCGUAAUUUCAUAUUCGUUUUCGAAACUAUGGUGACACUCAGAGGGUACAGCAAACUGUAUAAUCGAAGUCUAGUGUCAACCAAAGGCAUCACUUCGCAUUCGUAGUCGGAUUCGCAUUCGCACUCGCAUUCGUAUUCGUAUUCUUAUUCGUAUUCGUAUUCUUAUUCGUAUUCGUAUUCGUAUAUUCGUAUAUAUAUAUAUAUAUUCGUAUUCGUAUUCGUAUAUUCGUAUUCGUAUUCGUAUUCGUAUUCGCAUUAGAUUACAUUUGUAUUAUUCGUAUUAGUAUGAUUUCUUUAUAAAGGCAAUAUAGAUCAAAGUACUUUUCAACAGAAAUCUGUAUUUAACCUGCAAUUCGAAACAUUAGUUGUCUAGACCUUUGGAAAUUAAGACAUUUAGAAACUAAAACCAUUAAGUUGAAAAUCAAUUUGAGAANACAUCAAUGUUAUAAUUUGAAAACAGUUAUAGUUUGCUUGUAUUCCCCCCCUGAAAACAGUUAAAAACAGUGAAAAAUGGUAGGGGUAUGAACUCACCGGACAAGAAAUGUGACGAUUUCGGAUGCUAAACGUUGGUCCAGAGCUUGCAAAUGCACGAGGUUCCUAAGUAUAAUUUAAAGAUACACAUUUUUAUCUAAUUAGGACUUAGAUUAAUUAUUUGUUAGGGACAAUUACUUGUAGUCGCGGAAACACCCCAUUACGAGUGUUUGGAGGGACCCGGGUGGCGUUUAAGGACGUGAAAUGGUACUAAGGACUUGAGACUUGAGUUUAUUCCCCAUGAAUAAACUUAUACAAGGGUUUAAGGUCUAAAACACCCCUUCCCCAUGAGUUUACGGCCGUAAACUCAUGGUGGGGUAGUUUAUGGUGCAAAAUGACUUCAACCACUUAAGGGAAUUUUUCUAGGCUUGGAUCAAAGGCUUGGAAUGGAUUUUUAAACAUCAAAAUGACUUAUUUAUGGGAGUUUACGGCCUAGCAUAGGCUCCUGGCCAUAAACUCCUUAAUACCCAUGAAAAUUGUGUUAAAUGAUGUUAAAACAAAUCACAUGUGAUUGGUAAAUUUAUUCCUAAGUCUUACAUGCAUNGCCUUACAUGAGUUUUUAUGGGACUUUUGAGGGGUUUUUGGAGUUUACGGCCUAUGAGACCCCCCUCGUGGCCGUAAACUCUCUUAUAGAGUGAUUCCAUGUGUUUUAAAGCCAAAAACUUGUUUGUAACACUUCUAAAAAAUUAUUCUAUGGCUUUAGGGGUGUUAAAGUGGCAUUUCUAACACCUUAAAAUGAAUUUAUACCAUGUUUCAAGGAGUUUACGGCCCAAGCACAAGCCUUGGCCGUAAACUCACAUAAAUCCUUCAAAAAUUAUGUUUAAGCUGUCCAAAUGCUAAAACCAUUAUCCUGAAAUUCAUAUCUAAGUCUUAUAAGUGUUUUGGAAGGGUUUAAGGUCACAAAAACCCCAUAAAUAUGAGUUUACGGCCCAAGCAUGUGCCUUGGCUGUAGACUCCUUCAAAUCUAUCAAAAUCCAUGUUUUAAAUGUUCUAAGUCCAUUCCAUGAAGUCAUUUAGCCAUAUCUAAAUUCCAAUUGUGUUUAGGAAGGGUUUUAUGGCUUAAAAACCCACUUAUUAUGAGUUUACGGCCUAAGCUCCUUCCAUGGCCGUAAACUCACAUUCAAGGCCUUAAAUCAUGAUUAAAUCCCUAAUUUGGAAGCCAAAUAUGCUAUACAUUAAGGUUAAGAAGGUACCUUAGGGAUUUGAGGCCUUAAAAUUGAGUUUUGGACCCUUAAACUUUGGAUUUAGGAGAGAGGUUAGAGAGAGAGUAGAGAGAGGAAGAAAAAGCUUCAAAUGAAUGUUUAAACACGUUUAUAUAGUUNAAUAUUACAUCUAAUUAGUAAUUUAAAAUCUAAUUAGAUAUAUUUGUAUACCAUUUCAUAUUACAUAGGAACCUCGCUCAUAUUCAAGCCUCGAUUCGACGUUUAGCAUCCUAGUCAUCACAUUUCGCGUCCAGUGAGUUCAUACCCCUACCCUUUUUCAAUGGUUUUUCAAUGUUUUCAGGGGGAAUACAAGCAAGAGUACAAGAAGAUCUUGUACUUAAACUCAUGAUUUCAGUUAAAUGGUUUCAUAAUUGUACAUUUUUAAGAAUUGAAAACCUACUAACAAACUGUUUUAACUUGGAGAGUUGUUUGUUCAAACCGAUUUUUAAUUCUUAUUAUAUACUGUUAUGUUGUAUACUUUACAGUUGAUUGUUCACACUUAUAUUGAUAGAGAUUAUAAAACAUUUGUAAAGUCUGUAAUAAAACAACCUAGGCACGAGUAUAAAAGACAGACACCAUUAGAACACAUAAAUCAAUCAUAAUGUCCUUGAUAAUACACCUAGGCUCGAGUGUAAAGGACAUUCACCAUUAGAUAACAUAGAACAUUUGUUAUGUCCUUAAUAAGACACCUAGGCUCAAGUGUAUAGGAUAGGCACAUUAGAACUUAGUUAGUCAUAGAUACUACUUCCUUAGGCACGAGAAGUAAAGAGUAAUCUUAGAGAUUGGAGACACGCCCUCUGUAACACUUCCGUAGCACGAGAGAGUGGAGGACUAACCCUGUAACCAGAAUCUCUAGGAGGGAGAACGUGACUUGAGUGUAUAGAUCUAUACGGGACUGACUAUCCCGCACCUGGCUGCUAGAUACAGCCGAACCAAAAGGUUCAAGGGUGAUGAAAGUCAUAAAAAGGAUACUGGCCCUGGCCCGAGUCAUAUCUAGUCUGAGUAUGGUUAAGGACUCGCAAUCAAGAUUAUUAACACUUUACACGUGUUUAUUAGUUUUAUGAACGUAAUAAAACUAAUGUACAUUUAAGGAUAGUCAGACUUUCAGGAGUCUACACACACAUUCAGGAAAAUAUGGGAUUUUCCUGGGGAUAACGUUGAACAUAAUCGGAAUCGGUAACAAUGCGCACACACAGAAUUGAUAACAGUUCACACACGCAUUCAGGAAAAUAUGGGAUUUUCCUGGGGAUAACAUUGAACAUAAUCGGUAGCAGUUCACACAUAGACACAUGUAGGAAAAUGUAGGAUUUUCGUGGGCAAUCAGUAGUACGUAACCAGAAAAGUGUAGCAAGUUAGAUAACUAAACUUUUCAAUUCACAUGAACAAUCAUGUUUUCAUUGUACAUCUUUUACAAUUACAUUUUGGAUUUGGUAACCAACUUUUAAGAAAAUAUGGGAUUUUCUUGGAUAACUACUUUUUCAGGAAACCAAAGAAACUUGUACAUUUUUCACAAAACAAAACCGCUUAUGAACUCACCAGCUUUAUGCUGAUUUUCAAACCGCUUGUAUUCUCAGGUUCGCAUUAUACAGGUACCCGACGAUCUCUUUUGGCGAAGACGGAGUGCGUAGAAGACUCGUCUCAUUUUGUUCAUAUAUACUAUGUAUCACAUGUAUAACUUUACUUUUGAAACAAAUGUAAACUUUUCUAUAUGUAAUGUAAUGGUUGUUUUACUUUACAUACUAUGUGCAUUGGAUUUGAUACUCAACGUGGAGUCAACCCCGGAAAUGUUUCCGCCUUCGGUUUUCGGGGUGUGACAGAUUGGUAUCAGAGCCCUUGUUUAUAGUGAAUAAAGUAUACCAAACCUUACAUGGUAUAAAACUAUAAACAUUAAGGGGCCUAAGUGCUCUGAACUAAAAGUAUCCUUCAAAAUAUAAGUAUUUUCAAAAGUAUAUAAGUAUACCGAACCGUCGAGAUCCGUAACUACAAGUAGAACAAAACAUAAGUAAAUGGGUGUUGUGUACUACGGUUAAACCUGGGCAGUUAUGUAGUCGUGUCUAGGAUCAAUAUAGCCUGGCCAACUAUAUUCAUUCGAGAUACGACCAACAUGUGCUUGGGAGUGACUGUGGUAUGCGGCAUGCCUAAAACUUACCCUAAUACCACAAACAUCGAACCAGCGUCAUAACGAAUCAUGAAAUACUAUAGGAGUAUUUCUCGAGCCAAUCUUUGGUAGAAAUCCUCGUUCAUGCAUUGUUCUUUGAUCAUUCCCCUAGCGAUAAUUUUCCCGCUUAAAUAACUCUUUCCUGCUUUAUCGCUUAUUCAGCAUAUAUCCGUCAUAUCUCUUGAUUCAAUUCAGAGGACUUAUCAUCCUCUCUUUCUUGAUCUUAUUAGAUCAAGAUGCCUCCAAGAAAGAGACCCAGUUCCAAGACCAACAACCCUCCGCCACCACCUCCUCCCCAAAUUGACCCUGUAGUAUUCCAGGCAGCUGUUACAGCCGCGGUGGCACCUGCCAUGUCUCAACGGAACUCUGGCGGUUCCGGUGGUUCGGGAGGUGGUACUCAAACCCAAAACCAAGAAAGUAAUCGGAAAUACCGAAAAGAGGGUUCCUAUAAGGAUUUCAUGAACGCAAAACCCACUUCCUUUGAUGGCACGUGAGGUGUCAUUUCCCUCACCCAAUGGUUUGAGAAGAUCGAAUCCAUCUUUGAAAUUUGCACCUGCUCAGAAUCUGACAAGGUGAAGUUUGCCGCCUGCACCUUUAUCGACAAAGCCCUGACUUGGUGGAACGGUCGAGUCAAAUCCCUAACCUUACCUGUAGCCAACGCCAUGGGUUGGGAAGCUAUGAAGGAACUUCUGCUGGCUGAGUACUGCCCUCGGGGUGAAAUGUAGAAGUUAGAACACGAACUCUGGAACCUGAAGAUGAAAAGUUUCGAUAUCACCGCUUACACUUCCAGGUUCGACGACUUGGCAUUACUCUGCCCGGGAAUGGUUACCCCGGAGAGUAAGAAGAUAGAGAGAUUCAUCUGGGGGCUGACCCAGCCAACGAAGGGAAACGUCAUAGCUGCAAGGCCGGAUACAUACGACAGCGCCAAACGCUUAGCACAAAUCCUAAUCGAUCAUAGUGAAGACCUUGAGGAGGCAGCUACCACUCCUGAGCCGAUAGAGAGGAGUGGUGAGAAAAGAAAAGUUGGGAAGAAGGAGAAAAGUCAGACAUCACAUGAGUCUUCGAAGAGACAGCAAACGGUGGCAGUUCACGCUGCCACUUCCCCUGCAACUGUUUCUGUUGUUGGAUCCUCAACUCGAAAACCUGCCAGUAGGUAUGCUGGAACCCUUCCUAGUUGUGACAAGUGCAAAUAUCAUCACCUUCCUUCCGGUCCAUGUAUAGAGGUAAUUUGCAACAAAUAUGGCAUAAAGGGUCACAUGGCGAAAAACUGUAAGACACCAAAUCAAUCAACGAGUCAAACUUCCAGAGCGGGCAUUGGUCGGGCCUGCUAUGGUUGUGGAGAAGUUGGACAUCUCAAGCGAAACUGCCCCAAGGAAGUAACACUCGGCAACGCCGGAAGAGUUCUAGCGAUAGGACAAGAGGAGACAGCCACCGAUCCCACCGUUGCCACAGGUAUAUUUACCCUCGUAAAUAUUUAUGUCUGUGAUUCUUUUCGAUUCUGGUACCGAAAGAAAUUCGCUAACCAUCCAUUUGAACAUCUUUUAAACCCUGUCGUUCAUAAGUAAUCGAAAAUGUAUACCGUCGAGAUGGUUAUCAAGUAAGAACGAGAACGCUAACGUCAUAUCCGUAGAUUGUAUCCUCAACCCGAACAAUUAUUCUUUUCCGUUCGAUAUAAUGGCAAAACUUUUCAUGGAAUGCUUUGAUGUCACCUUUAGCAUGUAAUAACCGAGCCUCAUUCAUGCUGCUAUUCCUGGUUUCGAGAAAGUCAUUCGUCUUAACCUUCCUCCGACCCGACUCUCAUGAUCUUCGUACAUCAAAGCUUAAAAAGUUUUUCCAUGUAUUCCUCGUCCGUGUGAUCAUCGAGAAACGAGAAGUCUGCAACUCUUUUCCCCGAUGCCUUUUCCGAAGAAUUCUUGAGAAUUCCUUCCGAACGAGUGGUUAAGUCUCGUAUCGACCUAAUCCCUGAAAUUUCCUCGUAGCCAAAACCUCAGUGAGCACGAUGUGUCCAAGACAGCAAUCAGGGCUUGAUAUAAUCACUACGAGGUAGUAGUGGUGCCCUUCGGUCAAACCAUUUUCCUAGUCAAGCAGAUAAGCAAAGCAGUCAUACUUGUGGACCUUUCCAAAAGCUAAGGCAAUAAAGAAUUAGUUGGCACUGGGGAUACCCAUAGAAACCCGUCCAUUCUUGGGUUCCACCGACUAUGAUCGUAGACCCAUCUAGAAAUUUCCUUUAGGACCAUCGGACCCUUAGUUACUCUGCCACGUGAAAAUGUACCCACUUGUUGGAAGUUUUACUCUGGAAAGACAUAGUAUGCCUUGGGAAGCGCGGAAAACUUAACUUGUGGAACAUUAGUCCCUUCGAGAUCCUCGUUAGGAAUCGAUUCCAUAGCCCUCUCCGAGCUAUCUUCAGAACUCAGCAGCAAUCAUCUGGUAUUCCACAUCUUUGUUCGUAAGGAGUGUCGACCUGAUGAAACCCUAGAAAUCCCUUGAUGAGAUCGAAACCAAUGGAAGUCCGAACCUCCAUGGAUGAAUCAAUUGAGAUCAUGGAUUGAGAGGUUAACUGUAUGAGACAAAGCCACAUCCUGACAGUGAGGGUUCGCUAGAAUGUCAAGCGGAGACCCGAUUCCACUUAAGAGCAUGAAAACCCGAAGCAGUAGAUUCAUCCUCAUAUCUCUUUUCACUUCGUGAUCUGUGUUCAAAUCUUUGAAUUUCGGGACGAAAUUUCCUCUAACGGGGGGAUAAUGUAACAACCCGAAAUUCGUAUCACUGCUUGUAACCCCUUUUCGUGACACAUUUCGAUCAUCCAAUCGCAGUUUCCGAUUCCGACAUUUAAUUAAGUCAUUAAUGUGUAUUUUAUUUUAUGACUUAAUGGGUAUCCUAAUACCUUUAGAACUCAUUCUAACACCUCAUAUUAGUGAUCCGAACAUUUCUAGAAUCAACCAUAUCGAGUAACGACAUUUUGAUCGGGUGCGACCUAAAGCCCCGUCUAAUGCCGGUAUUGGGUAGAAUUCCACCGUGUCCCGAACUUGGACAGUAUUUAAAGUGAUCCAAGCAUCCAUUUGAAGCUUUUUCUUCAUUUGACAACUCUUUCUCUAACCUCUCUCCUCAAACUAGAUUCAAGGUCCCAAAAACAUCAAAUUUAGGCUUCAAAACACCAAGGUAAUCAUCUUAGCUCCUAGUAUAUCAUCCUUAGCCUUCAUUUUCGUGUUCAAAUCAUGGGAUAGGACCAUAAACAUGUGUUUACGGCCCUGGAAUAGCCUUAGGCCGUGAACACAUGAAAAUGGGGUUUUUGAGCAACAAAACCCUUCCAAACCACAACUAGACUUUAGAUAUGGAGUAAGGACUUAAUGGAAUGGACUUAGAAUGCAUCAAACAUGGAUUUUGAAGAGUAAACAUGAGUUUACUGCCCAAGAACAAGCUUGGGCCGUAAACUCCUCAUACAUGGGGAGUAAACUCACUUUUACAUGUUAAAAAGCCAUAUAACUACACCAAAAGCUUUUGAAUAAAUCCUAGAGUCAUCUAAAAAUAGUUUGGGGACCUUAAACAUGUCAAACACCCUCCAAUUAGGUGUUUACGGCCAAGGAACCCCAAGAACAUGUUCAUGGGCCGUAAACUCUUAUAUACAUGUCAAAUGAUACCCUAAAUUCAUACCAAGGCUUGGAAAAUUAGUUAGAAUCACAUGUGAUUAGUUUAAGGUCAUUGAAUCAUCAAUCUAAGGGGGUAUAGGAGUUUACGGCCGUAAACUCCAUGUUUAGGGCCGUAAACUCCCUUAAAUAAUGUCAUUGGUGAUUUAAUUUCCAUCCCAUGCUUUAGGUAAAAUUUUACCAACUCCUUCCAAGUGUUAUUGACCCAUUAAGCACCAUAAACCUUGCCAACAUGAGUUCACGGCUGUGAACUCAUGUGUGAGUGGUGUAUANNNNNNNNNNNNNNNNNNNNNNNNNNNNNNNNNNNNNNNNNNNNNNNNNNNNNNNNNNNNNNNNNNNNNNNNNNNNNNNNNNNNNNNNNNNNNNNNNNNNNNNNNNNNNNNNNNNNNNNNNNNNNNNNNNNNNNNNNNNNNNNNNNNNNNNNNNNNNNNNNNNNNNNNNNNNNNNNNNNNNNNNNNNNNNNNNNNNNNNNNNNNNNNNNNNNNNNNNNNNNNNNNNNNNNNNNNNNNNNNNNNNNNNNNNNNNNNNNNNNNNNNNNNNNNNNNNNNNNNNNNNNNNNNNNNNNNNNNNNNNNNNNNNNNNNNNNNNNNNNNNNNNNNNNNNNNNNNNNNNNNNNNNNNNNNNNNNNNNNNNNNNNNNNNNNNNNNNNCGAGAAGUAAAGAGUAAUCUUAAAGAUUGGAGACACGUCCUCUGUAACACUUCCUUGGCACGAGAGAGUGGAGGACUAACCCUGUAACCAGAAUCUCCAGGAGGGAGAACGUGACUUGAGUGUAUAGAUCUAUACGGGACUGACAAUCCCGCACCUGGCUGCUAGCUACAGCCGAACCAAAAGGUUCAAGGGUGACGAAAGUCAUAAAAAGGAUACUGUCCCUGGCCCGAGUCAUAUCUAGUCUGAGUAUGGUUAAAUUAACACUUUAUACGUGUUUAUUAGUUUUAUGUACGUAAUAAAACUAAUGUACAUUUAAGGAUAGUCGGACUUUCAGGAGUCUACACACACAUUCAGGAAAAUAUGGGAUUUUCCCGGGGAUAACAUUGAACAUAAUCGGAAUCGGUAACAAUGCGCACACACAGAAUUGAUAACAGUUCACACACGCAUUUAGGAAAAUAUGGGAUUUUCCUAGGGAUAACAUUGAACAUAAUCGGUAGCAGUUCACACAUAGACACAUGUAGGAAAAUGUAGGAUUUUACUGGGCAAUCAAUAGUACGUAACCAGAAAAGUGUAGCAAGUUAGAUAACUAAACUUUUCAAUUCACAAGAACAAUCAUGUUUUCAUUGUACAUCUUUUACAAUUACAUUUUGGAUUUGGUAACCAACUUUUAAGAAAAUAUGGGAUUUUCUUGGAUAACUACUUUUUCAGGAUACCAAAGAAACUCGUACAUUUUCACAAAACAAAACCGCUUAUGAACUCACCAGCUUUAUGCUGAUUUUCAAACCGCUUGUAUUCUCAGGUUCGCAUUAUACAGGUACCCGACGAUCUCUUUUGGCGAAGACGGAGUGCGUAGAAGACUCGUCUCAUUUUGUUCAUAUAUACUAUGUAUCACAUGUAUAACUUUACUUUUGAAACAAAUGUAAACUUUUCUAUAUGUAAUGUAAUGGUUGUUUUACUUUACUUACUAUGUGCAUUGGAUUUGAUACUCAACGUGGAGUCAACCCCAGAAAUGUUUCCGCCUUCGGUGUUCGGGAUGUGACACAGCUGUAGUAUCAUAGAUGAAUUAAUGUACUAAAAUUCUUUCGUAAGUUGCACUGUUGUGUUUUGUAAUACCGUUAUGAAAUAGUCUAAUGGUAUUCGUUCCGACUAAGCCUGACAUUGUCGUGUGACUUGAGUUGAUUCGACCCUCACAGUGCCUAUUUCGUGCGGAAAUUCUUUUCCCUGUAAUCAACUUUCUAGUCGAGCCGUCAAUCUAGAGCUCCGAAGUACUCACGCGUAGAGUGCCAUAUGUUUCGUACCCUUCCCAAAGUAACCUCAGCAAACCUCAAUACCACUCGUACAAUACGUCAACUUCAAAUCCAAAGACCCAUACGAUUCAUCAAUCACUGAGGAAUGUAUACGCAAGGUUUGUACGUAAUCAAAGUUCUACAAGCUUAGAAUUGAUGAUUCCGCUUUAACUUCUUUUCUUUGUUUGGAUGUGAGCUUAAGGAAGAAUCAUUUAUUCGACUGCCUUUUCAAUCUUAAUUAUAUACGACUCGUAUACGUGAAACUGUGAUUGAUGAACCAAGUAUGAGUUCUAAUAUGAACUGCGGGAUGGAGACUGCUUAAGAUUAUGAGUCAUCGUGUUGCCAUGCGAAUAAACUUAGAGGCCAAACACAUGCCCUUCCCGCCGAUCGGGACAAGAGAGACAGAUGGAACAAAAGUACCUAUCGUUUUCCUUAAUUCAUGAGUAAUCAUACUUUCUUUUAGAUCUUCACAACAUCUAAUCAACCACAAGGUUUUGACGUCAUAACCAGUAUGAAUUAGUUGAGUCUACAUCAAGCCGACAUCAAGCGCUUUGAGAAAGCAAUUUUUCUUAACCUCCCUAUCA
rnacentral:lncRNA from 1 species